AUGGGGCUCUGAUACUAAAUGUUAGAAUAAAAAAAGGAUGGAAAAGAGCUCUUGUAAACGCAAAGUCUGAUUACACUUGUAAAUUGGGAGAAUUCUUAUUGAAUUGAAAUAACACUAAUGACUGUUAAAUAGCCUUACAAUGAAAUAGGAAAAAAAAAACAACAACCCACGAUUUUACAUGGCCUAGAAUCCCUCCUAUACUUGAGGGACAAGAUUGUUUUUCCCUUUCUGACUUGUCAUACACCAACAUUCUAGGCCAUGUAAAUUAUUUUUAAAUUAUGUGCUUCUUGAGGUCGUGGAUCCUUGUUUCCCCGUUGAGUAUUUGACUUAGAGAGUUAAAAAUAGGGAUGCCAACUACUACGCAUGCAAUUACGGCACCAAUACGAGAGAGCAGAGAAGCAACAACGGUACCAUCGUUGCCAAACAAAAAAUAGUUAACCAUACUUUGCCUGGGCCGCAUGGGUUCCACUGCUAUCAGGGCUGCAUAAAAUGCCGCCAACAUGCCAGCAAUGGAAUAACUAAUAAGACUCGUAGGUGUGGGUAGAUGGGUUGACAGGACAGAUAUAGGACUGUAUUCGUUAAAUAUCGCCGACACUGAGAGAGCGAAGCAAAGCGUGUUAAAAAACAUAAAUACUUUGUAAGCUCCUUUUUUUGUUAAAACUGGUGUUCCAUCGUCUGUAAACCCUCCAGGCGGGUUCAAAACGGCCGAAAAUGUAACGGUUGCAAUGACCGUCGCUACCAGAAGUUUCGAAUCAUUUCUAUUGAAGGUCUGAGCCAAAUAAGCCUGCAAGUUUUCUCUCGUAUUUUUAGUAUUGACCGGUGUCUCAGACGUACUGCUUUCCCCUUGGGAUCCAAAUUUCUUGAACUCCUGCUUGAUUUUUUGUUGAUAAUAUGGCACGGUAACGACAACGUCUCUUGCCAGGCAGUUCAAAACAUUGCGACUUUUUACGAUUUCCUAAAACAUAAAUAAAGUACUACACUUUUAGUAAACAUAUACAGGACUUAAGAACAAUAAGGUAACGAAUUUGGAUUUAGAUAUGUUCUGCGUUUGAUUCUAUCCAAUAUAAGAAAAUAAAAUAGAGAGUUCAAAGUUGAAAUCCAAGGGAAAUAAAUAAAAGAUUCUUCCCGUGUUCUCGGCGAGCAAAAUGUCGCUAACUUGCAAAAAUUCUUUAUUGAUAGCAGUUCUGUUCAACCUCCUGUCUCUCCUUAAAAUAGCAACGAUUUCACUAUUUUCAUGAAUAGCAGCUAGAUGCCAAGGAGUGUUUCCAUCAUUAUCUGCUUCGUUUAUAAGUCUCGCAAGCCUAGGCGUCUUCAAAACGUACACUUCACAACAUUUAUCUUUUCGCCUAAAACUGCUGCAUGUAGAGCUGUUUGGCCCUUGUGAUUGACACAAUCACAAAUAUCAGGACAACGUCCGAUCAACUCUUCAAUUAUUUGGGUGUGCCCUGCAUAUGCCGCGACGUGGAGAGCUGACAUGCCAAGCUCGUCUUUGAUGUAACAAGCAAAUUUGAAAGUUUUGCAAUUUUGAAUCAGUAGUUGAGCUGCUUUAAGGUUCCCUCUCAGUGAUGCGUAGUGUAAUGGAGUCCACCCUAUUUCAUCACGAACUUCGACCAUCCCAGGAUUUUUGGUAACCAUAGAUUGCACAAUUCCUAAAAUGUUGGUAUAGAAAAAUUAGAAAUUGUGUUGCGGGAAUCAAGUAUAUAUAUGAAAAUAAGGCAUACCAAGUAACGAGUCCCUUAAGAAGGAUCUUGCGCAACGGUAGCUGGACUGAGAUGCAUAUCUCAAUCAUUAAGGAUAUAUUAUCGACUGUCAAUAUGUCAUACUCGAUAACUAAGUUGAUUAUACAGUUAUAUGUUGAUGGGAUUCCGUGCAUAAGAAGGGUCUAGUACGGUAGUACCAAGCAAUGUCAUGAAGUUAAUUACCUUUCUUGGCGAAGGGUAUACGAGUGGCUGCUGCGUGCAAAGCGGUCACACCAUUUGUUCCCUGAAAAGAAAGAGAUUCAUGAUCCGGAGUCUUUUUUAAAAUAUAAUCAGCAAUGCUGGUAGACCCGGCUCUAACAGCUAGGAACAGGGGUGACUCCUUGGUGCUGUAAAAUGAACAACACAAUUCAGGAUCAGCACUCAGCAAAAUCUUCGCUACUCCAGCAUGAUUGUAUCGAACAGCAACAUGCAGUGCUGUAUCCAUUUCCAAAUUAGGCAUUCGGAGUAGCUUUUUGUAAGCUUCACCGUCAGUUGGUUCCUUUUCUGGAUCAAGAUCAACCACUUCCAUAGGUUCCGCUUUUAUGUGCUCAAUGAGGAACGUUACUACUUCACCGCAACCUACUCUCGCGGCAACAUGUAGAGGAGUUUCGCCAUUCUUGUUGGUGGCCCAAAACCGGGGAGAUUCGGGAAUUUUUUUCACUUUUUUGAAGAAGUUUAUUUGCUUGAAUUCAGCUGCAAUGUGAAGAAUAUUGUUCUCUUUAGGUGUUUUCUGAGAGAGAUCAGCUGUUAGAAGUCCUUCCAAGAAGCCAACAUCACCAGUUGCAGCUGCUUCAUACAGAGAAGGAUUCAUGCUUCCACCUCUCUCUCAGAUUUCCUAAAAAGUAUAACGUUGAAAUAAGAACACAAAUGCAAAUUGCAAUGGAGGAUUUGUGAACCAUAUAUAGGUCACUUACAGGAGGUUGCCAAUUGCAUGCCAAGUAGGCAAGUAGCCAUGCCAAGUAGGCAAUGCCUACUACCAUUCAAAACACUUGUGCCGUCCACCAUUCAAAACACUUUGUUUAUUUUUUCUUCUCUUCUUGUCAGUAACCCAUUCAAAACUUUUAUUUUUUAUAUUAUUUUUCUUUCUUUUUCCCACAUGGUGCCGGGCACCAUUCAAAACUCUUUGUUUAUAUUAUUUUUUAUCCUUUUCGGUGUCAGAAAACAUGUGCUUGUGUUUAUCUCCUAACAUUUUUUAAUCUUAGAUUUUUGUCCACUACAAACCUUAUCCAAAGCAGAUGAGAGACGUGAGGCAGGGAAGGACAAAACAGACUUCUUGCUGUAGCAAAGUGUGAACAGUACGGAACCAAAGCAGAAACCAAGUGCAUUCCCGCUCUUUAACUGUUGGUGAACAGUACACGCUCUCACAUAAUGAACAGUGCCAAUCAACUGGACUUUAGCAUGUAUAAAUAUAUAUACACACACAUAUAUAUUAUGGUUGUUGUAUUUUAUAGUUAAAUUUUAUUAAUAAUUUAAAAAAUUAAAAUCAUCGAAAUAAUUUUUUUUUAACGUAUCAAAACGAUUUACCAACGUGUCAUCCUCGGAUAAACUUGUUAAGGAUACAUUAUUAAUAAGUUCUUAUCGUGUAAUCCAAUAACAACCUAAUUAAUUAUUGUGUUGAUCCAAAAUUCUUUAUUUUUAUGUUUAUGUGUCGUGUUAACAAAUCAUGUAAAAAAAAUGUCCGGUUUACUUUUCAACUUUAAAUUAUUAAUUCGUUCAAUGUUGGUGUCUUUGUCUUUUGGGUUAAAAAAUGCACUGUCAACUAUCAUUGUCAUCGAAUAGUCUGUCAGUCUUCCAAGGAAACUUGUAAGUAUUUUCGUCCGGAAAACUGCCAAAACCAAGAUCACAAUUUCUGUCAAAGUAUUCCAUAAACGUGAAUAAUUAGUGAAUUAAUGCGUUAUAUGAAAAUGCAUACAUUUACUAUUUGGUCUUGGCAGAAAUUGUGAUGCAAUUUCUGGAACGAGAAUUCUCUCCGAAUUCUCUUUGUGAGGAUUCCGAAAAUUCUUCAAUCAUGUCUGUUCAUCAUAUAUGAUAUGAUCAUUUUUUGUCAGGUAUUAUUUGUAUUUAAUUUUAAAUAAAAAAAUUAAAAUACUUUCUGACAGCACGAUAUAUGAUAAACGGAUACGAUUAAAAGAUAUAUGGAAUCUUCACAAAGAAGAUUAAAAAAGAAUCCUCAUUCCGAUUUCUGAAUGGACUUGUCAAAGUCCCGUGUUGUCUCCUACCAUGAAAUUCAAACAUGUCACAUGGGCUCAACGCACUUAGCUUAAACUAGAAAAUGUGUGCGUGCUUUGUUGCGGACAUUGAAUGUAUUAUCCACAGACACACGUGAAUAAUUUCCACACAAAGUAACUAAAAAGAUGGGGUAUUACCUAAGAACCAAUGAAGUGAAACUUUGCUUGCUAUGUAUGGAUAUGCAUGCUAUAAGAAACCAUUCAUUUGUAGAUCAUAUUGCGUCAUCAGUAUUAUACUCAUACUCUCAGGUGAUCAGCCUACUACAUGAGAAAAACACAGAAAAGGCAAAUCACAAAAGUAGAAGACAACAUUUGAGCAUCUAGCAAGAAUAGUUAGUUUUUGAAAAAAUUGCUAAACAGUCUUACAAAUUCAAUUGUUAAAUGUUACACUAUGACCUAAGAUAAAAAUAAAGUAUAGGAAACUUUAACGAAAAAUCACAUUUUUACACUAAAAAGUCAAUCCUAAUACUAUUCCCUUUACCCUUUAUUUUGUCUUUAUCGUUAAAACUCAGUUUUCAAAUCAUUUUCAUUAGUUUUCCUUAGUUUUCCUUGAAGUUAUAUAGUUCAUUCACAUAUCAAAACAAAGUGCGAUCAAAGGAAAAUGAUUAAGAAGUUGAAAAUACAAAACUGGAUUAGGCAACCAUAUCUUUUAUCGGUAACUAAACAAAUAAUUUAGAAUUGUACAAACCCGAUUCUAGCUCAUCUACCUCCUCUCAUCCUCAGCUCUGUAUUUCAAAGGCUGAGUAGCCACGUUUGGAGAAGUUAUCAAAUAAUCACCAUCUGAAGAUUGAGAAUAACCUCCAUUCACAUUGCAAAUUUUUUUUUAGAAAAUGGGACAAAUUAACAUAUUUAGAGUUAAUUAUUCUGAUGCAAACAUUCUUAAGAUAAAUUAAGUAGAAAAAAUGUAACGAAUCCAAUGAAAAAACAGAAGGAAAAUGAUUUAAAGAAAAGUUAAACUUUAAAUACAUCACAUUAGUGAUUAAUCAACUAGAUAGUUAGUCUCAAACCAGAGUCUCAAUGAUCUCGCAAUACCAGGGACAUCACUCUCCCUGUUAACUCUCAACUACCUCAACUCCAUCACUCUCCCCCCCAUUGUUUCUAAUUCACCUCUCCUUCGAACUCUUCGACUACAAAUUUAUAUAUAGCAACUUGAACUGUCCAUUUCAAAUCAUAUAUACAUAGGCAGAAAAGCAAAAACUAAAUUCCUGCCGCAUAAAUUAAUUGGUAACCAAACAAAGAAAAAUUCUUGGAGACUGGAACAAAUCCAAUUGAAUUUUCAUGAAACGUAUACUUAAGUGCCCAAAAUUUGAGUUUUACAUCAUAUUAUGUUCUUACAAAAACAGUUUCUCGGCUGCUAGGUAAUUUCUGUGGCUUUUGAUCAAUAGUUGUACUUAUAUACCCAAAAAAAUAAAAUAGUCAAACACAAAUGAAAGAAAGACCUAUCAAAUUAAUAAGAAAUCCAAGUUAGAGUUGUUAAAAUUCACUUUUAUCUAUACAAUUCAAACUUCCACACAUUUGUUCAUACACUUCACCAACUGUCAAACACUGCUAAUUACCAAGAUAGCAAGAUAAUGAAUUCUGUGAACAAAAAAAUGAAAAAUGAUAUGCAAUUUGAACUUACAUGCCAAAGAAGCUCCAUAAGAGUAGUAGCUUCCUACUUAUUGCAUGCAUCAAAAGCAUUGCAACCGCAGAUCCUGAAAAUUAUCAAAAUUCAUCGAGUCAAGAGGCAAUAUCAUAGUUGUGUGAAGGUGAAUAUGCAACCAAUAAUCUAAGAUAUACCUGACAAUUUUGCAAUUCCGUUGUAAUUUCACACAAAAAAAAUAUCAAAUUUUGAUUCAAACAUCAAACAAAAUAAUCCCACCUGUUACAGAUUGGACCAACGAAAUAAAGAAUCUAUUAAUAUGAUUUUCAACCUAACUAUAAAAAGGAGCUUUAUAACUAUCAAUAUAAUUUCAACCCAUCUGAAAAGAAACUGAUUGUGUGUCAUAAAUUCUAUGGGUAAUUUGAUUUUGCAGAUUAAAAAGAAUUGAAGAAUACUAAAAAUUACAAAACCCUAUCACAACAUACCAUCAGCGAUGAAUUAAAUCCAAAUGUAAACUGCAGUUUCUUAUAGAGCAUAUCCAAAAGUAAAUUGCAGUUUCCUAUCUCUCCGAGCAUCUAAACAGAAACUGUAAUUCAAAACUCUGAUUUCAAUAACCCAAAAAGUUUAAAUUGCUUACCGUUCUCUUGACUGUGGAUUACAUUAAGUAUAUGGAGUUUAAAAUUUAAAAACAAAAAGACAAAAAAACAAAAAAACAGAUAACAAAUAGGGAGUAAGAUCAAACAGUGAGUGGUUCAAUUAACCUUUUUCUGUUGGUCGCGUCUGUGAAUCCUUUAAUUUGCAGAAUGAGCUUGGGAACUCUUCCCAAAACUCCCACAAUCAACGCACCUGCGUCAAAAGGGAAAGGAAAAACAGUUGAAUAUUUGAACUGCACCAAACAGAUUGAUUGAUAAAAAAUAAACGAACAUGACACGACCAAUGAAUUUCACCAAACGGGAAGUAAUAAAAUAUUGGACACUGAAUGAGUUGGAAUAAAAACACAACUGCAUUUUCUUAUUCUUCUCCCACAUUCAUGAGGCUUCUUUUUCAUCUUUUUCUCUUCUAAUUUCAAAGAACACAACAAUUAGCACAGCCUGCUAUAAGGUAGAGGAAGCAUAUGAGUCUCCUCAAAAUGGAUGUCCAAGGCUGACCCUUAUGCAGAAGGAAGCAUGGGAAGCAUAAAUGGGAUAUCAAGAGACGAUCUCAAGUAAAUUUGCAACACAAAACCCAACCAGCAACAAUUUGUUCAUGACAUCUUAAAACAUCAAAUUUCAAAACAGGACAUUUAAUGCAAAGAGCUCAAACUAUAAUAAUUGGUGAAUCAAAUAUUUUCUAUUGAAUUUAUCCUUUCAAUUGGUUGGUAUUUUCGUUUAUUCUCGUAUCUUUCAAUUGUCACCCAAAACUAACAUCUGAGAGAGCAUUGCACUUCUUAUCUUUAAAAGCACGAAUGGUGAACUAAAUCAAAGAAUAAGAAUCAGCAAUGAACUAAACAAAAACACACUUUUUACGAACAUUAUUCGCACAAAAAUUAAAACUGUAUUGAGAAACUCACCACCCCAUUUCUAAUGAAUGACGUAUGAUGAUAGGAACAUCAUACGGUGAAUUGCAUAUAAAGUAAAACAUCAAGUAUACCUCGAGGCGACAUUAGAUACGAUCAUUAUCCAAUCUUCAUCUUUGACACCAAGAGCACUCAGCAUCUCAGAAUUCCUCAUCUCCCUACCCUCACAUAGCAACUUCUGCUGCUGAAGUAGUACCCGUGUCUGCUCAUACGCAUCGAAAAACAUCACACAUUCAAUAUACAUUUCUCUAUUAAUUAAUCAGCUAACUAAAUUUAAAAUUAGUUUUCAAACCAAAAAAAUUUCUAAAUUUUUUAUUUUGCAAUCACACCCAGUUCUUCAUCUCUUACUCUAAAUUCCAAUUACAAAAAAAUCUAAACUUUACUUCAAUUUAAUAUUGUUUUCCCCAAAAACAGCACAAUCCCAUAAAAAUAAAGUUUAAAAAAAACAACAAUAAAUCAUGAAUUAAAUUAAACUUCUCACCUCCACCUCCAACAUAGCUUUCACAUUCUCAACCUGUCAUAAAAAAAAUCAAAUCAAAUUCAAGUAAAAAUAAAAAAGAGAACUUGAAUAAAGCAACCCUAGUCCACCCAGUUCUUCGUCUCUUACUCUAAAUCCCAAUUACAGAAAUAUCUAAACUUUACUUCAAUUUAAUAUUGUUUUCCCCAAAAACAGCACAAUCCCAUAAAAAUAAAGUUUAUAAAAAAAACAACAAUAAAUCAUGAAUUAAAUUAAACUUCUCACCUCCACCUCCAAUAGAGCUUUCACAUUCUCAACCAGUCAUAAAAUAAAUAAAUAAAUAAAUCAAAUCAAAUUCAAGUAAAAAUAAAAAAGAUAACUUGAAUAUAGCAACCCUACUCCCCCUCCUUCUCCCUCUCCCUCCGCAAUUCACGCGUGCACCCUCUCCCUCUGUAACCCUCCCCCUGUGAAACCCCUAAACCCCACGCAUAUGCCCUAUAUCUUGUGGCUACAACCUCACAAAUCGUCCCCAUCACCUCGAUCCCAUCGAACCACAAAUCAGGCACAAUUUAUGAGAGUAAUUGUAAAAAUGGAUAAAACACUUUCAAUAAAAGUUUUAUAAAAAAAGCUUUUCAAUCCAACACCAUCCAAAACCAUAAAAGAACAGAAUAAAGACACCAAAAGUAAAAAAUAAAUAAAUUUCCACAUAUUCAACUUUCACAGUAUAGAAACACACAACUUUCACGAUAUUAAAAAAAAAAAUUGUUGGAGAAAAGGCUCAAAGGAAAAAUCCAAAAUUAUUUACCUUGAGCAUAAAGGGCUUUGAAAGAUGUAAACAAAAGCCCCAAAAAAACGAAGAGCAUAGUGACCUGAAAUAAAAAAAUAAAAGCAAAUUAUACAACCGAAAGAUCUAAUGAUAUAAACAAAAUACCCAAAAUUAUAAAAACUAAAUUACAAAAAAUGAAGAACAAUGUGUUCUGAAACGAAAAAAAAAAGAAAAUCAUAUGCCCAAAAUUAUAACGGACGAUUUCAUAUUUUGUAGAUAGAUGACACUCCCUUUUGUCAUGUAUGAUAAAUAUUCAAAGUUAUAACAUCUCAAUUCCACAUAAGGCAGUACACAAACCUUUGGAGAGAUGCCAGUGGACAGUCAAAAGCUGGGUCUCGUGUUGUGGCAACGACUCAUGCUGCUGUUCAUCGAUCACUGCAAAAGAACGCAAAGUUCUAUAUUGCUAUAGUACAUACUAGAGAUUUAUGCCCACGCGUUGCUGCGGGAUUGGAAAUUGUAUCAAAUGGUCUAGAUUAAAACAAUCAAUUCAAUCAAGAUCCAUAUUCUCAACAAACAAACUGUAACGGAGAACGUGAUAGGAUUUGAUCACAAUGCACAGCGGAAUCAACAACUAAUAUUCAACACUACACAAUCCAAAACGGUAAUGAUAUUAAGUUUUUUUUUAAACCUGAUUGUACUAAGUGAUUCUUUCAAUAAUAUGAUAAAUUAAAUAAAAUGAUCACUACCAAUAGUUUAGAUUACAACAAUCAAUUGAAUCAAGAUCCAGACUCCAACAGGACAACUAAAAGCAAAGAGUUGAGAGAAGAAACAACACAAAUGACUGGUUCCCCGAAAACCAUUUAAGUAGAGUUAAAAAAAAGGGGUUAGUCAUGACCAAAUUUAAGAAGUCACUAAAACCAAAGCUCAAUUGCAAACCUCCUUGUAUUCCAUGUAUGCAAUGACUCUACUAAUAUGUUCACAGUCAUGUUGACCUGUAUAAAGAAAAACUCAUUUAGUUCAUAGCAAAUUGUGAGUCAUUCUGAAUAUAAAAACUUGCUUUUUCAAUCACCCAUCUAAAUAAAAAAAUCAACUCCAAAAUUGAUGGUCAGAAGUAUAACUAAAUGAAAUGGGAAAACAGUUCAAGAACCUGCCAAUGUCAAGUACUAUGACUUUGUGGGAUUAAAAAUUGUAUGAAAGAUUGUGUCAUAGAAUAUUACUAAAAUUUACAUUGAAAACGUUAGAAAUUUUUUUACAUACAAUAUACUCAUUUACAAAAGAAAACAGAGCCACUGAAACGAACAGGGAUAUCAACCAAUCAUCGCAGUACAAAACCAGUAAAUACAGCAUUCACAGAACUGAGUGACUCUUACACAAUCCAAACAUAGAAUUUUAGCUUGUUGGUAUCAGAUGAUUAACUCUAAUUACACUAACGCGGACACUAUCUCUGAAGAAAACUAAAGAGAAGGACAAAAGUUGUGAAGAGUUAUCAACCAAAGUACAAAGACCAUAAAGCAUGAAAUGUUAAAGAAGAGCAGAUUUCCUCGCAACUGAUGCAUAUUGCUGUCAUAGCUCUGAGAAUAGCUAACCAAACCAAUCUAACUCUAAAGGCAGCCAUCAUAAAUUAGAAAGCUCAUUCGACAAAAGGCUAUAUUAAAAAAAGGUUCAUGUAUAUGCCCAAUUAUACAAACAAUUUUGCUAAGGAAUGCCUUUCCAACCUCCUCCUACAGCAACAGACUCUGCAUGUACAAUUUGAUAGUGUUUCUACCAGAUAAUAUAGCCAAUGGGAUUAACAAUCAUUAAAGUUGACCCUCCACUACAACUAUACAUUCUGCUAUACAUUCAUUCUCUUGCAAAACGUUCAAAAGGAUGAUAGAAAAUCUUGUGUAUAUAAAUUAUAGCCGAUGGUAUAUGUCAGUUCUCUUCUACCAUUACAACCAAUGAGAUAUAUACAUUCUCUUCUACCAUUAAGAUAUAUAAGAAAAUAACUAUUUAACUGAAAAUGAAGAUCUAAAAGCUAGCCACUGUACAUGUUCUGUCCAUUCUAUUCUACCAUUGAAGCAUGCAUGUUAAAAAAAAUUUGUAAAUCUAAACGCUUAUUUCAAACAGAGCAUGUCCAUUCAGCUCUUAAAACCGAAAGAAAAGAUUUAGGUUUCUUUCUUACCCAAAUCCACCAAUUUGAAUCAAAUCUCUGCAACCCUUCCAAUCAAAUGCAAAUUAAUACAACUCUGCAAUCAAUAAACAAAACCCACAUAAAAAAUUCAACAAAGAAAGAGAAUCCAGAAACCAAACCUAUCAAUCAAUUCCUAAAUCAACAAUAAAAAAAAAUCAAUAAAUUAGUAUCUAACUCCACAAAUAAACAAAGCCCAUAUCAAAUAAUUCACAAAAAUUUAUUACAACUAAAGAAUUACCUUCCAAGGGAUGGAGAUUCCAAGUAGGCUUCCAAUAAUGAUCUGAUCGAUAAGAAAAUACUUGUAGGUCAUGGGAUAUCACUUUGAGAUUUUCAUGGUUUACCUUUUCUUUUAAAAUGGGUUAAUACGUGAUCAUCCAGUCCUCCAACUUUCUGUUUCUCAAUCUUCUGCAAGAGGAUUGAAAUCAGAACCAUUAAGUUUCAGAAGAAACAAAGUCGACAGGAAAAAAAUGGUGUCUCCUACAUCAAACAAUGAAAAUGCAAAUUCCUUGGGCGUAAAAGAAGGGAAGCGUGGAAUGCUUACUCAAGCUCAAUUGAAGUUGAAAGGGUCAGAGACAGAAACAGAAGCCAAGGAGGAGAAAUAACGGUCAACGCCAAAUUUGUGGGUGAGGCGAGUUCGAGAGCGAUAGAUUCAGAUUUUUUUUGUUUUGAAUAUAUAUACAACUAAUUUACCAUUCAAUCAUAUUAGUGGAAAACAAUUAAACCGUAAAAUUAACAACAAUUAAAUCUUAGGAAGACCAAAUUUCCUGUAAUUUAAAAAACCCAUAUGAAAAGCUGUAGACAGUCACCAUCCAAAACCGUAAAACAACACAACAAAGACACCAAAAUUAAAAAAUAAAUAAAUCCCACAGAUUCGACUUUCACACUAUAGAACACACAACCUUCACAAUAUUAAAAAAUAAAAUUUGUGGCAGAAAAGGCUCAAAGGAAAAAACCAAAAUUAUUUACCUUGAGCAUAUUAACGGCUUCCAAGCUUGUACACAGAUUCCCCAAAAAAUGAAGAUCAAAGUGACCUGAAACAAAAUACAGAAGCAGAUCAUACAACCAAACAACAUAUCUAAGGAUAUAAACAAAACACCCAACAUUACAAAAACUAAAUUCCCAAAAACGUAGAGCAACGCGUUCUGACACGAAAAACACAAACAAAUCAUCGACCCAGACAACGGAUCUAAUGAUAUAAAGAAAAUACCCAGAAUAAGAAAAGAAAAGAAAAAAAGUCAUUCACAAAUCCCACCCCAACAUGGAAAACUACCAAAAAAAAAGUCAUUCAGAAAUGAAGAUAAAUAGAACCUUAAUAUGGAAACUGAAGCUUUACCUGCAGAUCGGCAACGGCAAAUGAAAUCCAGCGGGUACCUCUAGAGUGAGAGAGACUUACAGGGAUCGCAGACAAAAACAGAGAAUAACACCAAAAAAAUGGGUACUGACUCGGGUUUUAAACGCAAGAUGCAGCAACUAUUUAUUUUUCAAAGCGUUUUAAACGCAAAAAAUUUGCACAGAUGAUUUGGCUAAGAAAAAUGAGAAAGAUGAGAAAAUCGAAAACGGAGAAAACGAAAGCUUGAGAGAGAAAGAAAGGCAGGCGGAAAAACAGGGUGAGGGGUGAGGGGUGAGGGGUGAGGGAGAGAGAGAGGGGGACAGAUGGGAGAGGCAGAGAGCAGUGAGGGAUGAGAGAGAGUGACAAUGUUGGGAGAUGGGGAGUCUCAGGGGUGGAGAAAAUAUUAGAUAGCAAAAACCAAACACACUUUUCAUAUGUUCUAAUCAUUUUUUUUCUCUCUAAACCAAUUUUUUUAUUAUUUGUUAUCCUUUUCGAUGUCAGAAAACAUGUGCUUGUGUUUAUCUCCUAACAUUUUUUUAAUCUUAUUUUUUUGUCCAAUACAAACCUUAUCCAAAGCUGAUGAGAGACGCGAGGCAGGGAAGGACAAAACAGACUUCUUACUGUAGCAAAUUGUGAACAGUACGGAAACCAAAGAAAAAACCAAGGGCAUUCCCGCCCUUUCACUGUUGGUGAAUAGUGCACGCUCUCACAUGAUGAACAGUACUAAUCAACUGGGCUUUAGAGCAGCUCCAGCGGGAGCUCGUGCUCGAGGGACAGGCUGCGGAACAGGACUUGAUUGCCCGAGGGAAGAAGUCCAGCGUUGGCUGACGAGGGAGCCCAAGCAGGACCGAGCGCCAGACCCGUGGAUUCGUGCCGGCCCGAGCGCCCAAAGGGGAUGUGACGUGGGUUGACGUCCCUGACAUCAGCCACAAUAUAAAAUUAAUAAAAAUACAAAAAUAUUAAUACAAAAUACAAAAUUAAUACAAAAUUUAAAAAAAAUGAAAACCCAGGCUUCGAACUCAACGGCUCUCGCCGGAGUUCGUCGUCGAGGUUGAUGAUACACCCACAAACAAAUGGCAGAGACUAAACCCAAGGGUUUCAACUCGAAACAUAUAAAAAAACAAGAGAAUAACUCAAGCAAUUGAAGUAGGGCAAUAACCUCAUCUGGGUUUGAGCAAUGGAAGCUUGAAGCUCUCGGCUUCAAUGGUGGAUCACCCAAAUGGUGCUGUGAUGAUGCAUGCAAGGAUAUAUUCGAAUUCCUCUCAUCCAGGGGAUUGAGAUUUCAGAGUUUGUUGGUUUGAUUUGCUUCGGUUUCGAAGAAGAGGAAGGAUGAAAAGGAAAAUGAAGGAUAUAUGGAUUGGAAUCUAAGCUUAUGCCUUGGCGUCGGUCCAUUUUUUUAUUCAUAUGAGAGAGAGAGAGAGAGAGAGAGAGAGAGAGAGAGAGAAUAAGAAAAGGGAGAGUGUUCUGGAAAAAAAAUGAAAAGGAAGAGUUCUGGAAAAAAAAUGAAAAGGGAGUGUUCUCUAAAAAAAAUGAAAAGGAAAAGGAAUAGGAAAAAGGAAAAAAAUUAAAAAUUAUUUUGUAUUAUUUUAUAGAUAAAAAAACUAAUAUUUUAUUACCUAUUGCCAAGGCUAUUCAAGUGCAACGGUAGAGAUGCAAAAGGCAGUUACUGUUCAUUAAGGGCGAUUACUGUUCACAUAGUGGAUUGAAUAGUGAAUAGCCUGGGGAAAGGGCUCCUGGAGUAGCUCUUAGUAUAUAUAAAUAAAUAUUGAAUCAAUUCCAAAAGGGUAUUUAUAGUAAAAAAUAAGCCUCAUAUACUUUUUCUUAGAAUGUCAGCCCCAUACUUCUUCGUAAAAACAUUAACAGUAGCUAUAGCCUGUAAAAAUAGAAAAUCAAUUAUUUACCUGCAUCAUCACAGAAUGGCAGCCACAAAAAUUACCCAGGUAAAAACUGAAUGGAAAAAUUACCUAUCUAAUGCCUUCAGAGAGGCAUGAGAUCUUUUAUCAGUGCAAAAUUGAUUUGACAUCAUUUUGUAAAAAAAAUUAGAAAGCAUAAAAUAGAUGAAAAUUAAGGCUUACAUGGUGAACAUUAUUUUUUUGCUUGUCAUACCAUUGAAUUUUUAUUGCAUUCGCAGAUGAUAUACAGGGGUUGUCAAAGCAAAAGAUAUAUGUUCUCAAAUUGUUAAUGGAAAUGGAAACACAAAGGAAAACAGUUAUUCAUAUCUAAUGACCAAAUAAAACAGGUGCAUAAUAUAUGUUCUAACCAAAUAAAAGUAGGCCGACUUGGUACCAUUUAAGAAAGCCCGAUCCGCAUUCACCACAUCUACAUAUAGUAGCAUUUAUGGGAAACGUGAAAAUCAUUGUUGAUAUAUCAUAUAUCAACAACAAUCCUUAUAGAGAUGUGACAACAAACCAACUUGAACGAAAUGUAGUCAGAUCGAUUGGCGAAAGUUAUUAUCCAUUUCGUAUCCUGCUUUAGCACUGGAAAGAGAUGCUUUAAAAUAUUUGCUGCCCUUUCACCCAACUAUGAACAAUCAAGAAAAGAAAAUCAUAUUCAAUAGAACAGUAACUACGCACGCCAACUCAUAAAGAUGUGCUGAUGCAGUGAUAUCAGUGUGCAUAAGAUUAAGACGUAGCAGGAGUGGAUGGAUCAUAAUUAAUAAGCAUUAAUCAGGGAUGGAGAGAGAAAAAGAGAGAAAGAGAGAGAGAUAGAGAGAGAGAAUUAUAUCACAAUCAAGGUAGGUUAUCAACUAUAAUCAAUCAUCCUCAUCCCUGAACCGUUAUAAACUAUCUCUAAUUGGAUCAAUGGGGUCUGAUCAAUCUUGGCAUAAUGUACGGAGUAAAGUAAGCAAUCAAGAUGCUGAAAUAUUUAAUUGAGAUAUAAUACCUUGGUUGUGAAACUGUCAAGUAUCAGAUGUGGAUAAACAUGCAUUCACGUGGCUUCCCUUUCUCCAGCCAAAACCACACAGCAUCAUGCUCAUCCUCUGCGAUUAAAAUACAACAACGAAAAAAUCAAAAUGAUAGCAAUUCAAAAUUUAAAAGAAUCAUUUUUUUUAAAUGAAUCAGUGAGCAAGCAUAGAUUUGCACAUAGAAAGAGAAAAGAAACAAGGAAGAUAUGAAUACCCACUCUCUGUCACCCAUCUGCAAGCCCACCCACCCUGUCAACCAAACUGUUUGAGAUGGACGAAACCCCAACCCCCAACUCUCCUAAGGAUGCAAUCAGAGCUUCGGGUUUCAGGAAGCAAAUGAAAAACGAAGUGCGUUUUCAUCCCCCACCCUUUCUACGAUCGUCGACACGUGCACGAGAGAAGCGGUGGCAAUUUCGUAAAUAAAUCAAAAUUUUCAAUCUGAAACGGAAAGGGUGGUGGCAAUUUUGUAAAUAACUCAAAAUCCACCCCAAGUCACUGUUCAUUUGUACAGUGCAAUUUCUUCUUCUUCUUCUUUUUUUUUUUUUUGGACAAAGGCUUACUUUAUUUAUUGGGUAAAUAUCAGUUUACUACUCUCAAGUUUCGUGGUUUUCAACAUUUGGUAUAUGAAGUUUUUUUCGUCUCAGAGUCAUACCUAAAGUGUUAAUUUUGGGACAGUCUCCUACAUCUGUUAGUUUAACUAUUAAAUCAGCAGUUAACUGAUGACGUGGCACCAUGUAGACAAUGACUGGGCGCCACGUGUCAAUAUAACGCCCACGUGAAUAUUAAAAAAUUUAAAAUUAAAAAAAAAAUCUAGGCACCCACCCAUUCUCCUUCCCCCCCUCCCUCUCCCUUCUUCUCCCUCCCUUCUCUUCCAUGCACCCAUCGUCCCCGCACACCCACUCAUUCCCCUUAUUCUCCCUCCAUUCUCUCCUCUGCACCCACCCACCUCGCACACCCACCCACCUAAAAUCAAACCACAUAAAAAAACACAAAUUUCCCCCCAAAAUUUCUUACCAUCCAAAUACCCUCUGCUUCCCCCUUUCUCUCUCCUAGGUUUUAUUUGUAUCCCUUACAUCCCACACUUUCUCGCGCUUUCCCGGAAAAAUUUUCAUCUUCAAAUCUUCAACAUGAGGCAAUAGAAAGGUAUGCCGCCUUAUUGGGACCCGCCAACUCCGUUCGUCGAGCUUUCAAAUGAUUCAAAUCGCAGCUGGUUUGGAGAAAGAGAUCGCUAUGAUGAACAGCGAUUUUGGAUUGGAUGGAAAAUCGGAUGCCACUGGAGAGGCUGAGGAAGCUAGAGCUCCGGUUUCCUAAGGCGCGUAGGUAAAGAUGGAGCUAGGUUUUGCCAAUGAAGCUUGAUUCGGGAAGUAAGGUUGGCGGAAGAUCUGAGGAUGAUAGGGCUAGGGUUGGUACAGAGAGUGAAGUUGGAAAUGUAGAUAAAGUGAUGGAAUCGAAUGGUUUUGGAAGCAUGGUGGCAGAGUAAAGGGUCACUCGGGUCUCAUAGGGUUGGAGAGAGAGAGAGAGAGGGCGGAUGGGUGGGUGUGCAAUGUGAGUGGGUGUGCAGGGAGGGUGAGUGCAGAGGAGAGAAUUGAGGGAAAAUGAGGGGAAUAGGUGAGGUGUGCGGCCAGGAUGGGUGCAGGGAAGAGAAGGGAGAUAUGAGGUCGGAAAUGAGGGGGAAUGGGUGGGUGCCCAGAAUUUUUUUUAUAAUUUAUAAUUUAUAAUUUUUUUAAUAUUCACGUGGACCCCAUAUUGACACGCGGCGCCCUAGUCAUUUUUCACAUGGGUGCCACGUCAUCAGUUAACGGUUGAUUUAACAGUCUAACUAACAGAUGUAUAAGAAUGUUCCAAAAUUAACACUAUAAGUAUGACUCUAGGACGAAAAAAAACUUCAUAUACCAAAUGUUGAAAACCACGAAACUUGAGGGUAGUAAAUUGAUAUUUACCCUUAUUUAUAACACAACAUAUUACAUUAUAGAAGGCUCAAAUACAAGAAAUACACAAACAAAAAGAUGAACCUCUAUAGUAACCUAACAGCCCAAAACAUAGUUUUGAGGCCUGAACAGGAAAAACACCAAAGUAAACCCUAGCAGCUUCCUACCUCCGCCGUCAACCCGCUUACCAAACAAACAGCCUCUGCAACCAUCACAAAUCAACAGAACUAAAACCCCAAAGCUGGAUGAAAACGUAUGAAAACAAGACCCCAAAACAGAGCCCCAAACUCUUCCACAGUAGACCAUAACAGUAGCUGACACAAAUUGAAGGAAGCUAGCGGGACAAAACCUAUUAGCAUAGUGGCAACAAAGGCAAACCAAAGGAAGGAGGUGGUGUGAACACUCGAACAAAAGCUUUACUCACCUUCCAGGAGAAGCGUGAAAAAUCACGUUGAAAAAAAGUGGGAGCCAAGCCGAACUGUGAAGUCGGAGAAGGAUAAAGCCGAUCCAGAUUGGGGAACGUGGGGGAAAAUGUAACACCCACCCCCAUUUAUAAAAAUAUAAUUAUGUAAUUACCCCCAAAAUAUUAUGAAUCUAUCAAUUUUGGUCCUUUUUUACUACCAAUGAAAAUCUGAAAACAUUGGAUUCUUUCUUCCUCAAGCUGCCACGUGGCAGCACCCCCUUCACUCCUCUCACUUCUCUCUCUGUCCCCCCCCCCGUGAUCCCCUUCCUUAUUCUUCUUCUUUUUUGUCUGUCCCGUCUCUCUCCCUCUCGGAUAUCUCUCAUUUCUCUCUCUCAUCUCUCUCAUCUUUCUCAUCUCUGCACUGUGAACCCACACACACGCACACCAUCGCACAUGCUCGAAGUAGACACCCAUCACCAUCGCGUCCUGUUCUCUCUCUCUCGUUUCCGCCAACCCAAAAAACCAAAAAAAUGAGCUCCGGCGAGAUUUUUCAAUCUCAGGUUAGGUAAGCGCCAAAUCUUCCCUUUUUCGUCCUAGAAUCUGGUGAAAUGUGGUUUAAUGGAGUUUAUUUCGUUAUUUUUGGAGGUUUUUAGGACGAAUCGAACUCGGGUGUAGGAACACCCAUUUCCGGCGAGCUGUGGGUGUCGGGGGAGAUUCCGACCAUCUUCGGCCGUUCCACGACGAAAUGAAGGUAUAGAAUUACUCCAUUCGUCUUACUCUUCGUUUUGGUACCUAGAUUAGAGUCUAGGGUUGUGUUUGGUGGUCGGCCGGAGCUGUUGAAGCUCCGAUGUUUGUUCUCCUGCGAGACCAGGCCUCCUAGGCCGGUUCCAAGUCAAGCAGGCCUUAGGCCCGUGUGGGGAGUCAAGCCCAAAAUCCUAACCCAAUUUCCUUUUUAUUGUUUUUAUUUAAUUGUUAUUUGUUUUAAGACCCUAAAGGCCUUCGGGCCGAUAAGUUGAAGGCUUGAAGCCCGUGACCCAACCCAAAACCCUUUUUAGGUUUUGUUAUUUUUCUGAUUUAGAAAGAAGGCCUUGGGCCAAUUAGAAAGUGGGUUUUUAGCCCUUUCCCUUUUAAACCCUUUAACCUUAGUUAAGCCCAAAACCCUUAAGGCCCUUAAGGCCCUUUCGGCCCAACCCAAAACCAAAGCCCAGUCUGACCUUUGACAGUUUGACCGUUGACUUUGACUUUGACCGGUCAACGGUCAGCGUUGACUUUUUGAGUUGACUUUUCGGGGUUUCAGGGCCUUUCCUAGGCUAAUUUCGACGUCCUGGACCCGUUUUUGAAGUCUAUUUUCCCAAAUUCAAUCGUUUGAAUAGAGUUUGACUAAAGGUACUCCUUUAUGUGAUUAAGUGCAAUUACUAACGGUGAUUCCGUUAUUCCUUGUUGGUAUAGCUUUGCACCAUCGGUGUAAGGUGAGUGGACCCCUUCUAAAAUGCAUGUUUUAAUAGUAGAAAUGCAUACAUGAAAAACAUGAUUUGAUGAUUACGUUUUAUGAAACGUUUUGUGAGAUAACAUGCUUACUGAUGCUACUUUGAAUUAUUACUAUUUUUCCUAUAACCCGUGUUCUUAUAGAAUAUCUGAUGGAUGACGAUAUGAUAUUUAGAACAUGUUUCGAACACCUCUUUAUAGUAUAGAUGAUGAAUGACUUUAUACUAUGAAGUUGCCUUUCAACAUAUAUAUGUUCAAUGGUUUUGUACUUACCUAGUGGUCCUUUACGCUACGGGAUGUAGGGAUAGAUUCCGGUCCGUCCCAGACGACGAUUUGGUGUUAGCAUAGGGCCUGGAGUGUGUUUUCUCUGGCUAUUUAGCACAAGGACGGGGAGCCGGCAUGGGGCCUGGGGGUUAUCAGACAAUUCACUAAUAAUUAUUAUAUAUACAAGUUAUGAUUUGAGACACUGCACGACAUGCUAGGUUUCGGAAAACCUAUGUUGAUCAUUAUAUAUGUGUUUUCAUAAAACCUGGGGGUUAGUACGUUGAUAACUGUUUUACUAUUUAUAUAUCAAAUUGGUCCACUCAUGUUUGUUUUGCGCCCCCUUCAGGGCUUAGAAUCGAGGCAUACAAUCCCAAUGUCAAGGCACUUCCACAUUGGCAUCUUCGAGUCUUCUUGGUGUAAGAUCCAUUUUUUUAUUCAUUCAAUUUUAUAUUAUUUCUUUUAGUAUUCUAGUUAGUUGUAUGCUCUGAACACGUUCCUUAAAUGCAUAUUCCUCAUUCUUUUACAAUUAUAAGUUUUAUCUAUUCCUUGUUUUCAGCAUUUGCACUAAAUAAAUGGCUUUCGUCACCCUUGAGUGUCGGCCAGCACGUGCCUAUCCUGGUAUUCGGGGAAUAUCGGGGUCGGGGAAUAUCGGGGUCAGGGAAUAUCGGGGUCGGGGCAUGUCAGAAAAGAGGGGGAAAAGGUGGAAGGAAGACAAAAGGAAACAGAAGGAAAAGGCGGAAGAAAAGAAUGAAAGGGAGAAAUUGAAAAAUAGAGUAAAAACAGAGAUAACAGAUGUAGAGGGGUUUGAGUGGCAAACAGGCCACUGGGCGGGGGUAGAAGGAAGACAAAGGAGGAUGAAAAUCAACAAGAGAAGAAAAUAGAAGAAGAAAAGGAAAAUAGAAGAACAUAGCAGAGAAGGGGAAAAUAGAAGAACAUAGCAGAGAAGGGGAAAAUAGAAGAAAACAGAAGAAGAAAAUGAAAAGUGGCAACCAACUCCAGCCGAAGCCGGAGUCGAUGCUUGAGAAGGUGGACAAGUUGAAGACCCUCACCAAAGGGGGAAAGAAAACUCUCACAGAGGAAAGAAGGUCUCUCACGGAAUGAGAGAUUCACUUCUUCCCCUUCUUUAGAUUAAAGUAAUUUGGUGUCCAUUGGUUUCUCAAGUGGAGAUGAGGGAGAGAGAGAUCGAGUUGGGAGUUUGGGAGAUGAGGAGGGUAGGAUUGCCAUAUUGAAAAUUUCAUUAAUGACUACGGUUAACCUGUGUUAUAAAAUAGCUGGUUUUUUUAAGGGAGUUUUAACGAAACACUUCCGGUAUUGUUCACUUAAAUGAAAACGACAAUUUUACUUUAAAAAGUCACUUUGACACUAUUCACUUACAACACUUUUUUGUCAUUUCGAUUAAAGCUUAAAAUUUUCAAGCCAUUAUCAUUAGUUUUCCUAUUUUAAAAAACAUCUAUGAGAGAUGCUUUUAAUAGAAAUUUCCAAGGCCUAACUUUGAAUAUAAUAUUCCAGAUGAAAUAAGUCGUUUCUGCCAGGUGUUGACAUGUGUCAUGUUUGAUGACUUUUCCAACUUAUUUAGAUUUUUUGUUUAGACACACGCUACGCGUAAAAUUUAUGUAAUACAUGAGCGUUGAAACUUUGAUUUAUCGGUCAACAUUUAUUUACUGAAAUUUCGAUGUCUACAGAAACACUUAAAAUAAUUGCAAGAGUACAAGGUAGUUGUAGUAUAGCAGCUCAAACAAAGUCGUUCUCCACAGGGAUUGAAUGAAUAAUUUAUAUUUAAACUAAUCCUUAGCUAAUUAUUUGUAACAAAGUUUCGAAAAUGUCGAUUUUGGAAUUUAAAAUAAUAAAAACAAUUAAAUAAUUUGCAAAGUAAAAUGAACUAAAAAGAAAACGAUUUUAAAAAUCAAUUUAAGCACUAAAGUUCCGCCGUCACCAUUAACAAUCCUAUGCAAUUUUAUGAAUUACAUAUGAAAUUCUACAUACAUGCUUUGAAGGUUAGGUUUUCCUAAUAUAUAUUUUCCUCGUGAUGUUUGAGCGAAAACGUAUAUCUAACAUGCAACUCAUCUGUGAUGUUCAAAUCAAAUAUAAACAUGCAAGCCUCAUUAAGUUUUGUGAAAACCUUUUGAAAAACCAAGCAACCCUUAAGAGCGUGAUGUUCACCUUAACUGAACGUACAAUUACUAAUCACAAGAAGCCAUCCUCAAUUUCAAGGUGAUGUUCCAACAUAAAUUGCAUUAAAUUACUUGUCUAAAUACCCUAAUGGUCGCAAAUCACUAAGACAAUUAGAUAGUUUAAACACGAUAAUUAAUAAUUCAAAGCAAUCAUACAUUCAUUCAUAAGCAAAUUAAUAAAAUCACAUAUUCAUGUUAAGACUCAUGGUCUCGCCCUAGCAAAAAGACUAGUUUCACAUAAUCAUAAUAAAAACUAAAGAAAAUAUCAUUAACUAGAAAAAUAAAUGAAAACACCUUGUAGGUAAAAAAUCUGAAAUUUCCUAAAAUAAUGCGUCUCUCCAAUCCUAAUGGCUAAAUAACCUUAAUUGUACUACUAGAAAAAGUCUUCUAAAAACUAGGAAACAUAAUAGAAUAAGAUAACUUGAAAAUACAUUCAUAUUUUAACUUUGGAAAAUCUGUCCAUCCACAAAGAAUCCCACAUUUCUGCAUCUUUAGGGCUCCAAAACAGGCCCAAAACAACUUGAAUUAAAGAUUAAGACGUCAUUUUCAAGUUCCAAGAAGAUCACAAGUCCAAAAUUCAUCAUCUUGUAGCCCAAAAAGUCGCAAGUAAGCUCUAUAGUCCGAUUUGCCAGCAUUGCGUGCUGGUAUAAAUUAAUUCGCCGAGAUCAGAUGCUUAAGGAUAAAAUUACGAAAUUUUGAACAACCUUCUUGACAGAAUCACGAACCCACUUCAAUUGGAAUCACUCAAAAAUUUCACCAUUUGAUUACUUAAUGCUCAGAACAAGUUCGCACGUCCUACAUUGAAAAUAAUACAAAGCAUCAACAUUUCACCAAAAUAAUAACCAAAAUAUACCAAGAAUGGGAGCAAAUAUAUAGUAUAAAAUCAAGGGAGACUUUGGAUGUGGUCCCUAGUUAUGAACAGUCUUUGACUGAAACCUUGUUGGUUUUCAAUUUUUGAUCCAAGUCCCUGAAAUUAAUUGAUAAUUUAUUUCUAUGUACAUUACUAUAUUUUUAAAUUAAAAAUUAAAAUUUAUAGUUGUUUAUAGUAAUGAGAUUUUAAAUAAAAAACCAUAAUUUGUGGGAUUAAAAAUAUUAAAAUAUAAAUAUACUAUUGUGUGUGUGUGUGUAAACAUGGGUACAUUCAUAAAAAAUAACCAAAAAAUUAUUGUAUCAAAACAUGGGUACAUUCUUCAAAAUAGGUACAUUUAGCAAAAAUAAAAAUGGGUACAAAUAAAUAAAAAAGUAUGGGUACAAUACAAAUAAAACUUUAAAAAAUAUGGACACAAAAAGAAAUUAAUAUAUGGGUACAAAUUAAAACUGAAAGGAAAAUUGGUACAAAUUAAAAAAGGGUUGCAAAUUAAAAUGGGUACAAAUUAAAAAAAAAAUAUGAUAAAAAAUUUAGCCAUAAAUAUAAAUAUACUAAUUGUAACAUUUUUAAUAUUAAAUGAAUAUAUUUAGAAAUAAAAAAUAUUUUAUUAUUGAAAUAAUUAAUGAUAUUAUUAAUACAAAGGACCUUGAUCAAAAAUUGAAAAGUAAUAAGGUUUUAAUCAAUAGAGUAGUAAAAAUAGGGAUGAAAACCUAAUUACUCCUAAAAUGAACUCAUCAGUUACCACUAGAAUAAUGUAAUAGACGACAUGUGCUAUACACACUAAUUAAUUUGGUCAUUAUACUACACAUUUAAGCUAAAAACCGUAGUAUAACAGCAUACGAAAUGUUAUAAAGUGAUGGAUAUAUCUAAUACAUGACAGUAAUACACAAAGGUUGUUUGGUAAUAGCCGUUGUCGGAUGCAAAUAUGUAUGACGGUGAAAAAAAUCGUUGUGGAUUAACUUUAUACUAUGACACACUUGAGCACAACAAUUUUGUGAACGACGGUAUUUCACCGUCGUCCAGUUACUUUUUUUUUUAUGAUUAUAAAUCUUGAUUCCACUGGUUUUGGAAUGGUAACGAUGAUCUAGUAGAAAAUUGGAAAGUAAUGUAGUUACAUUUUGUUAGAACCAAAAAGGAUGGCAAAGAGCUUUUGUAAAAGCAGUCUGAUUACAGUUGUAAACUGGGAGAAUUCUUAUUGAAUUGAAAUAACAUUUAUGGUUAUUAAAUAGCCUUACAAUGAAAUAGGAAAGGAAACAACAACCCACGAUUUUACAGGGCUUAGAAUCUGUUAAACAUUAAAGUUGAUAUUUUGGAGAAUCUAAAUAGCCAUGUAUUUUUUGUUUUUUGUUUGUAUGUGCUGGCAGUGUCUAGAAUUAUCUUUUUGGGUAUUAUUUAUUAGGUCCAGCUUUAUUGUCUCUUAAAGAGAAAAAGAGGAGUCUUUAGAAAGAAACGAAAAGUCACUAGUUGUGCCUUUCCUCCUCCCUGUACCAGAUCUUUUUUGUGUGUGCAGAAAAUAGAAGUUGGAGUAUUUUUUUAUUCAUCUCUUUAGCUUGUUCUUCUUUACAUCUUUGUGUGUUGAUCUUGGGCUAGUGUAUUGUAUUACACUAUUGUUGUUAUUUACAGAAUCGUGGUGCAUGACUAAGUCAGAAAUGGAAAAACAAUCUUGUCCCUCAAGUAUAAGAGGGAUUAUAUGUAGGGCUGGAAAAAAAUCCCAAAAAUCCCAAACCAAACCAAAAAAAUCCCGAUCCCAAACCAAAAAAAUCCCAAACCAAAAUUCCCGAAAUUUUCAGGAUGUCAUCCCGAACCAAACCGAAAUUUUCGGUAUGGGAUUCGGUACUGCAUCUCCAUUUUUCGGUAUUCCCAUACCGAACCGAAAAAAAAUUAUAUAUAUAUUAUUUUUUAAUUGUAAGAGAAUUAUUUCAACCAUUGAUUAUUUUGGAUUUAAUAUGUGCCGUUGAUUUGUUUUUAGGUCAGAUCCAAAUGGUACUCUACUCUUUCCGUUCAUUUGUUUCCAUCCAUUGAAGUCUCGAAACGCAGCCCUCCCUCACCGAGCCCUCAUCUCUCAUCUAAUCUCUCAUCGAACUCGAAGUCACUCUCACGGUCUCACCUCACCCCAAAUUAGGUAAUUAAUUUAGUGUUUUGAAACCUAAUUUAUGUCUUCCUUUUGAAAUUUAAUUUAGGGUUUGAAUCUUGAAUCUUAAUUUCUGUCUUCGUUUUGAAACCUAAUUUCAAUCUUGAAUCUUCCCUUACUGGUUUCAAUUUUGAAGAGUGAAUGUUUUUAUGCGCUGCAUGUUUGCAGGAUUACCAGAUUGCUGCGGCUACCAGGAUUACCAGGUUUAUGCGCUGCAUGUUUUUUGCAAGUCUCAUCCUCUCCCAAAUGAAAUUGGUAUGUAGAAGGGAUGUAUGGGGAGAAAAUGCAAUAUCUUUCGAUGUUUGAAUAAAUACGACAAAAAAUUUGAUUGAGUAUCAGUGAAAAGCUUGCAGUAGGAUCAUCUUCAGAUUGUGAAUAUGUGUGUUCUACGUUUAAAUACUCUAUUGAGUCCCAACUGCUUACCUGUACAUAAUGCAUUAUGCAGUGGCUCCCCAGAGACAGAGCAUUGUGGAUGGAAUGAGGAUGAUAGCACUCAAACUUGAAUUUGGUGUAUCCCACAAUCAGAUAUUUGAGAGGUAUUUUUCUUUUAUUUUGUUCUACUUUUUGUUCUUAUCUUUCAAAAUUGUAGAUGUCUUUUAUUGAUUAUUAAUUUGUGCAGGACCCUAGCAGUGCAUUUUACAGAUCCUUUCCAUGUGAGCAAACGGGUUGCAGAUAAAUGCAAUGAUGGUACUUUGCUUCUCUAGGUAUGUGUGAUAUGGUUUUCAAAACUACACUUCUGUAUGUAACUUUACUUAUGCAUCCCUGGCUAGGUGAUUAGAUAAUAAGACGUGAAGUGUGUGACAUCCUAUUCCUAUGUGUUGAAACAUGGAAAUUGUUUCUGUUUCACCAGAUGGAUAUUAAUCACUUACUUUCUGAUGCAGGGUGUUGAUCCAAGUAUUCGAGCUGAAGUGUGGCCGUUUCUUCUUGGAGUGUAAGUAUUUUCAUAUCUAUGCGAUUGCUUUAAUGCUUCAAGUUUUGUAUGUGUUAUAUGAAAAUUAGUUAGUAUACGAUUUUCAAAUUUUCACCCUGGUUUUUAUUUGCUUUGUAGUUCAAAUACACGAUAUAUGCUCAGAUUUUUCUAUGUUGAAUGCUCAGAUUUUAUUUGCUUUGUAGUUCAAAUACACGAUAUAUGCUCAGAUUUUUCCAUGUUGAAUGCUCAGAUUAUUGAUUGGAAUUUGGAUAUAUGCUGAACUGUGGUUGUGAUAUAUAUUAAUGUGCAUUGUUAUUUUAUUUGUUAAGUAGGAUGAACGGGUCUAGUAGCCAAUCUAGUGCACAUAUGGUCUCGGUAUUAGGGGCCGAAGAGGCCAACAAUCUUCAUAAAUUUUAGGCUUUGUUUUUUUGCUUUUGGUUUGUAACUUAAUUAUUGAAACUUUGGCUUGGAACUAAUUUUUUUGCUUUUGAGUUUGUUACUUUAUUUAUUUUAAAACCUUGACUUGUAACUAAUAUUUUUGCUUUUCGAUUUGACUUGUUGUACGUCACUAUGGGCUGUUGAAUAUAUUUGGCAAAUUGCUUUAAAAUAGAUUUGUACACAGAUUUGACAUGUGUAGUAGAAAUAAAAUUGUUUUUUGUUGAAUUAGGUUAAGCCCAUAUGGGCUGUUGAAUUGAGUGACUAUACAAUUGGACAUAUUCAUUACUAGGCUGGGUGGACAGAUUUUGGGCAUGGCCCAAUAUUGGCUUUUUGUCCAAAAGCCCAAAACCAUUUCGGGAUUCCCGAUUUGUCCCGAAAUCACGAAACUAUUUUGGGAUUCCCGAAAAUUUGGUUUGGGAUCGGUAUUGAAAUUGAGAUUCCCGAAAAUUUUGGUUUGGGAAUCGGGACAAGGGUUUCGGUAUGGGAUCCCAUACCGAACCACCUCUAAUUAUAUGCAUGACUUGAAUCAAACCCUAAAAACAAGGAACCCUAACCCUAAUGGGUAGGAAGUCCCAACAACUUUAACAUCAUCCAUUAAGCUGAAUGUCAUUGGCAAUCAAUUGAUUCCAGGGUAUUCGCAAACACCCAUUCAACCUCGCAUCUUCGAAAACAUUUCAAGCUACAAUGGUUUUGUCAAGAUAUCUACAAUUUGCUCCUGAGUAGAACACUAUAUUAGCUCCACUACUUCAUCUUGGACAAGAUCACGAAGAAAAUGAAUAUGGACAUCUAUGUGCUUGCUACGGCCAUGCAUCACUGGAUUCUUCGAGAGUUUGAUGGCUGAAGUACACUACCGUAGGAUUGGAUUGCACAUGAUUUAGAAUUUUCAAAAUUCUUCUCUGGCACACAACUUCAUACACACUUGAUGCUGCAACAAUAAACUCUGCUUCUAUGGUGGAAAGAGUAACUAUGGGCUGUUUCUUUGAAGACCAAGACACUGCACCCGAAUUCAUCAUAAAAACAUAACUUGAAGUGCUCUUUUUGUCAUACUGAUAUCCAGAAUAAGCGUUGUCUAUGUAGCCAAAGAGCUCUUCAUCUCCUCAUUUCUUAAAGACACCCCAAAGCUAGUUGUGCUCUUCACAUACCUUAGAACUCUUUUUGCUGCCAUCAAAUGAGUCUAUGUGGGACGUUCCAUGUACAUACUAGUUAAGCUUACAACAAACAUUAAAUCAGGACAUGUGGCAGCUAGAUACAUAAGAUUUCCCACCAUCUACUUGUAAACCUUGUCAUCGACUCCCACUCAUUAUUCAUCCCUUGUAAGCUUAAACCCAAAAACCACUAGAUUGUGCACUGAGUUGCACUAGUCCAUAUUAAAUCUCUCCACAAGUUCUUGAGCGUACUUCUGUUAGCUAAUAAAGAUGUUAUCUAAUAUUUGCAACACUUCAAUGCCAAGGAAAUAUCUCAUUUUCUUGAGAUUAGUCAUAUAAAAUUCAACCAUCGUGGACUUCUUAAAUUGUUCGAACAUAACUUCAUCAUUGCCAGUAAAUAUAAGAUCAUCAACAUAAAGACACUUUCAAUAAUUUACCUCCAUCCGUUGUUUUAAUGAACAGAGUAUGCUCGUAGGACAUUUGUUGAAGCCUUCCUUAACAAAGUAUGACUCUAUACGACUGUACUAGGCUCAGGGAGCCUGUUGAGUUCAUACAAAGCCUUCUUGAGCAAAUAGACCUUGGAUUUAUUCCCCUUUUGUUCAUAACCAGGAGGUUGAUCGACAAACACCUUUUCAUUAAUUUCUCCAUGCAGAAAGGCUGAUUUGACAUCAAGUUGGUAAAUCAACCAACUUUUCUGAGUAGCAAGGGAAAGUACAAUUCGAAUUGUAUCCAAGUGAGCCACUGGUGUGAACACUUCAGCAUAAUCUACCCAUAUUGUUAGAUGUAUCCCUUAGCGAAUAGCCAUGCCUUAUACUUGUCGACUUCCCUAUGCUCAUUGAGUUUUGUUUCAAGACCCACUUCACUUCAAUGGUUUUUGCCCUAAUGGUAGAUUCGUUAGUUCUCACAUCUCAUUCCUCUUUAUAGCUUCAAUUUCUUGAUCCAUAGCUUACCUCCAUUUUUCACAAUAUCCUCAAAUGUCUAGGGAUAACUGUCAGUGAACAAAGCUAGAUGAGCUAUGUUUACACCUUCUUCAUCAAAGAAACCUUGACCAGUUUCAUAAUCUCCCAUCCACACUGGUGGUCUUCGUGUUCGUCCUUUUGUGAGGUGAGUUGUCAUUAUUCAAGGUGUCUUCUUCUUCUAAAAAGUCACUGCUAUCAGUCCUACCGUCCUCCAAUUCUUCAUUAGCUUUAGACUCAUCUCCAUUGCCUUUAUCUUUUAUACUUGCUUAUUCGUUAGUUUCCCAUUCAAGAUCAGCCAAUAUGGCUUGCUUGUGACUGCAUCCAUACUCCAUUUUUUAUCUUCCUUAAAGACCACAUCUCGGUUUACAAUUAUUUUGUGAAAUGGGAUCAAUCUGCCUGUAAGCUUUAGACUCUUCACUUACUCCAAGUAAUAUGCAUUUGAGACUCUUGGCAUCAAGCUCCACUCUCUUGUUGUCAGGUAUAUGAGCAUGGAUAUGCAUCCAAAGAUUCUGAAAUGCUCCACUAAUGGUUUAAGUCCGCUCCAACCUUUUUAGGUAUUUCUCUCUUCACAGCAAGGGUCCGACUUCUAUUCAGCACAUGAACCAUCCAGUUUACAGCUUCAUACCAAUAAGUUUUAGAAAUUUUCUUCUCAGGCGACAUGCUUUGUACCAUAUUCAUAAUGGUUCGAUUUUUCCUCUCGGCAACACCGUUUUGUUAGGGAGUAUAUGUAGUCGUCAAUUGCAUGUGUAUUCCAUUCUUAUUACAGAAGUUUGUGAAUUCUUAUAAUGUGAACUCGCUCUCACGAUCUGUUCUAAAACUCUGUAUGAAUGCUCUAGUUUCAUUCUCGACCCUGGCUUUGUAGGUUUUGAAUGUGGCAAAGGCUUCUGAUUUUUCUACCAAGAAAUAAACCCAAGUUUUUCUACUGAAAUUGUUAAUAAAGGUGAUGAGAUACCUUUUCUUGCUGUUCGAGAUUGGAUUUAUCAAACCAUAUAUAUCAGCAUGCACCAAUUGAAGAAUUUUGAAGGCUCUCUAUAUACUUUCCUUUGGGAAUGGAUCAUGGUGUUGUCUUCCCACCAAACAGUCUUCACAUAUUCUCUAAGUAGCUUUGAACUGAGGUUACCCUUCAAUCAUCUUCUUUUGUUGAAGUACUUUGAGUCCAUUCCAGCUAAAAUGUCCAUAUUGACAGUGCUAAAGCAUGGCUUGAUUUGUGGUCUGUGAGGAGAAAUAUUUUUGCUCUCUUAGUGGACAGCGAGCAAGCACAUCAAGCAAACAUUCUAUUAUAUGUUAUCUCAGGAUGAAAGAUCUUACAUUUUCCAUGUUGAAUAAGCACAACGAGUCUCUUCUCUUGUAGUUGCUCGAUGCUUAACAAGUUGUUCUUCAGUUCUGGUACAAAGAAGACUCAUGUGAUCACAUGUGCAAUCUCAUUCACCUUUAUUUGAACCUUGCCUUUACUUCGUACAAUAAGGCUCGAGUCAUUUCUCAGCUUCACAGACUCUCUGAAAUUUCUAUCAAAUUCAAAAAAUAUGUCUCUUUUGCCACACAUAUGGUUGCUAUACCCAGAAUCAAGGAACCAAAUGUUCUCUACUUCAUCUUUUUUAAAGUCCACAUGGACCAUCAACAACAUCUCUUCUUUUGUUUCUGCGUAGUUUGCCUUUGGAUCCCUUGCUUUCCUUGGACACGUCCACUGAAAAUGCCCUAACUCAUGACAAUUAUAGAUUGUAAUGUAGAUUUCUCAAACUCAAAUCUACCUCUACCUCUUCCUCUUCCUCUUCCUUUUCCUCUUCCUCUUCCACGAUAAGUACUUUGACCUCCACAUUUUCCUCCUUGCUAAGCUACAUAAGUGACUUGCAGUGCUUGUUCAUCCGGCUGAUUCUUUGUUCAUGCACCAACAGGUUACUCUGAAGCUCGUCUAUAGACAAGGUUCAUUCGAUUCCUCAAUCAAACACACAACAUAAUCAUAUUUUGAAGUCAUAGACCUCAAGAUCUUCUCAGUGAUCACCACAUCCUCCAUUUUCUCUCUGUGAACCUCAUUUUAUUAGCUAUGAUGAGAGUUCUUCCAAAGUAGUCAUUGACUUAUUCCCCAGCGUUUAUGUGUAUCACUUUAAACUCUUCACAAAGAGCUUGCAAUUGGGCACACUUGACACAUGCCGUUCCUUGAUAUUUCUGCUUCAAAGAAUCUCAUAUAUCCUUCGCGGUAUCCUUCUUCAAGCACCACCACCUAACAAUCUUCAUCUCAAAUCCUAGGCUUGGACGAGAUCCUUCUCUCUUCCUUUUUCUUUUCCUUUGCACAGUAGUGCCUUUACUAUGCAUCCCUUUCUUUGGCAAGUUAUCACCGUUUUCGGCGAAGGUAAGCCACGAACUCCUUCGAUCUUCCUCCCUCGUGGUCUAAAGUAUUUGUUUGAUGAUAAAUAAUGACUUUGGUGAAUGGUUUAAUCACAAAAACUGCUAUGGGAAUUUUUUUCCAUAUUCGGGGAAGUGGGAGACCGUGACUGUUUCGCCACUUUCAAGCCAUUUUUCAAGCCAGCUCCGAUCCUCAUUGGGCCUCGAAAGGGUAUAAAUCUCUUCCCUACAUUUCUAACUUUACAUAGGAUCUUGAAUCACUUGAUUUGUGGUUGUAUCGAGCUCGGAAUUAGCUCUGGGAGUUAAAUGAGAAACCUGCAAAAAUUGCAGAAAUUGUGAGAUCCCACAUUGGCCAGGGGAGUGGAUCAUCUAUGCCUUAUAUGUACAUUCUCACCUCUAAUUGGCACGAGGCUUUUUGGGUGCUCACUGGUUUCAGGUUUCAUCGAAACUCCGAAGUAAAGCGAGUUCGCGCGAGAGCAUUCCCAUGAUGGGUGACCCACUGGGAAGUUCUCAUGUGAGUUCCCAAAAAAAAACUGUAAGGGCGUGGUCGAGGCCCAAAGCAAACAAUAUCGUGCUACGGCGGAGGUGGGGCCGGGGAUGUGGUGAGAGCCCGGGUCGGGAUGUGAAAAUUUGGUAUCAAAGCCAAUCCCUGGCCGGAAGGGUGCCGACGAGGACGUCAAGCCCCUAAAGGGGGUGGAUUGUGAGAUCCUACAUCGCCCAGGGGAGUAGAUCCUAUAUGCCUUAAAUGUACAUUCCCACCUCUAAUUAGCAAGAGGCCUUUUGUAAGCUCACUGGCUUCGGGUUCUAUCAAAACUCGGAAGUUAAGUUAGUUCGUGCGAGAGCAUUCUCAUGAUGGGUGACCCACUGAGAAGUUCUCGUGUGAGUUCCCAAAAACAAAACCGUGAGGGCGUGGUCGGGGCCCAAAGCAAACAAUAUCAUGCUACGGCGGAGGCGGGACCCGGGAUGUGGUGGAGGCUCGGGUCAGGAUGUGAAAAUUUGGUAUCCAAACCAAUCGCUAGCUGGAAGGGUGCCAACGAGGACGUCGGGCCCCUAAGGGGGGUGGAUUGUGAGAUCCCACAUCGCUCAGGGGAGUGGAUCCUCUAUGCCUUAUAUGUACAUUCCCACCUCUAAUUAGCACGAGACCUUUUGGGAGCUCACUGACUUCGAGUUCUAUCGGAACUCCGAAGUUAAGCGAGUUCGCGCGAUAGCAUUCCCAUGAUGGGUGACCCAUUGGGAAGUUCUCAUGUGAAUUCCCAGAAACAAAACUAUAAGGGCGUGGUCGGGGCCCAAAACGGACAAUAUCGUGCUACGGCGAAGGUAGGGUCAGAGAUGUGGUAGGGGCCCUGGUCGGGAUGUGACAUAAGGCGAGUAUAGCGUACUCGUGGGCUCGUGAAGCACACGGGCCUCCACUAGGGGUACUAUGGAUGGCGUUGCCGAUGAUUUUUCCGGCCAACUUUCUAGUAACCCAACUUAGCACGUGGUGACUCGGGCCGUCACCCCGUGGCGGCGCAUGCGAUGGCGAGUAGGGAAACCCAAGGUCUUUCCUUUGGUUUUUCGACAUGCCAAAUUUGAAUCUGCCAUUCGUUUUACCAAAGUUUGUCGUUUUAGUAGAGUUUUAACAAAUGGUCCCUAAUUGUGUUUAGGUGCGUUGGUUUGAAGUGAUCCCAUCCUUCGUAGUUCGAAUGGCUCUUCGGUAGCAUAAUAUUUGUGAGUGGACCCCUUCUCAAAUUACAUGUUUUUAUAAAAAUAUUAGGCUUGCAUUCAUGGAAGGCAUAUAUUUAUAAUUCUACAUUUCAUGAAUUAAUUAUGUUUUAUGAUAAGUUUAUGAAUUUCUAAAUUUAUGUUUUACGAAGAAUUUAUGAUUUAUUUAAUUUGUUUUUUGAAGUAUUUACGAUUUAUCAGUUUAAGGUUUAUGAAAUUUUAUGCUUAUGAAAAUCAUGUUUAUGGAAAUGCUUAUGAUUUCUGAUGAUGAUGUUUUGAGCCCUAAGCUUUGGUAUGAGAUUUUGAAUUACAUUUUAUGUGCUUAAUUAGUGGGUAAUCAUACAACAUAUACACACAACACGAGUAUGUAUACGUUUAUGGCCAUAGGACACAAUGGAGGAAUAGUGAGAUAUUUACAACAUACUCCUAACUUCACUGGCGAAACCAAUGUCGGACAGCUUCACCUUUGAGUGAUGGGACCUACCAUGUUUCUUCACUGGCGUAACCCAGUGUCGUACAACUUCACCCUCAGGUGAUGGAUAUGCAUUCGAGCAACUACGAUGCCCCUAUAUAAGUACAUUAGUAUUUUGAUUUACGAGCUCUUUUAGUUUUGUCUUUGGGCGAUUUCAAUACCACUUUUAGAUAUGAUUUUAUUAUCUAUGAACGUUUUCGUGGCAUGUAGAGUUUCGGGAAAAACCUAUUACGUAUUAUUAUAUUGUUUUCAAAACGGGGGGUUAGUAUGUGCAAAAAGAAAACGGUUUUCUUAUUAUUACUAUUAUUAUAAACUCUGGUCCACUAACCUUUUGUUUUUGUGCCCCCUUCAGGACCUAGUGACGAGAAAUACGACUCGAGCAUCGAGGCAUUUCCCUUCUAGUGAUCUUGUUUUCUCCUCACUACGCAUGACCUUUUUAUGUAUAAUUGUAACUUUAUGUCUUUCAUUUCGCUAGCACUAUUGUUUAGUAGUAUGCUCUGGACAUAUUCAUGCAUCCUUUGUUUCGAAUUGUUAACAGUUGGAUAUUCUCCUUUUAUUAUGACUAACGUUAUAUUAUUAUCAUUUCUUUAGCGUUUGUAUAUUCUUUAUGAUUAUUGUUUCUCUUUUGACUUUUUGAUUGCAUGCUUCCUUGUGUUCAUGCAUAUUCAUAUAAUUAUGGCUUUUGUCAUGCUCGAGUAUCGGUCAAUACAUGUCAUGCAUGUGUCAUUUGGAUAUCUGGGUUGUGGCGUGUCCAUCAAACCUCGGAAUGGCAGGUUGCACGAAGCUACUCUCGGAUGCCAUGUAUUUUGUUCCUUCAAGCUAGUAACUAUGUUGCAGGCUUUGAUCAAGCCCCAUGAUGGGGCUCUGAUACUAGAUGUUAGAAUAAAAAAAGGAUAGAAAAGAGCUCUUGUAAACGCAAAGUCUGAUUACACUUGUAAAUUGGGAGAAUUCUUAUUGAAUUGGAAUAACACUAAUGGCUGUUAAAUAGCCUUACAAUGAAAUAGGAAAAAAAAACAACCACCCACGAUUUUGCAUGGCCUAGAAUCCCUCCUAUACUCGAGGGACAAGAUUGUUUUUCCCUUUCUGACUUUGUCAUGCACCACGAUUCUAGGCCAUGUAAAUUAUUUUUAAAUUAUGUGCUUCUUGAGGUCGUGGAUCCUUGUUUCCCCGUUGAGUAUUUGACUUAGAGAGUUAAAAAUAGGGAUGCAAACUACUACGCCUACAAUUACGGCACCAAUACGAGAUGGCAGAGAAGCAAUAACGGAACCAUCGUUGCCAAAAAAAAAAUAGUUAACCAUACUUUGCCCGGGCCGCUUGGGCUCCACUGCUAUCAGGGCUGCACAAAAUGCCACCAACAUGCCAGCAAUGGAAUAACUAAUAAGACUCGUAGGUGUGGGUAGAUGGGUUGACAGGACAGAUAUAGGACUGGAUUCAUUAAAUAUCGCCGACACUGAGAGAGCGAAGCAAAGCGUGUUAAAAAACAUAAAUACUUUGUAAGCUCCUUCUUUUGUUAAAACUGGUGUUCCAUCGUCUUUAAACCCUCCUGGCGGGUUCAAAACGGCCGUAAAUGUAACGGUUGCAAUGACCGUCGCUACCAGAAGUUUCGAAUCAUUUCUUUUGAAGGUCUGAGCCAAAUAAGCCUGCAAGUUUUCUCUCGUAUUUGUAGUAUUGACCAGUGUCUCAGACGUACUGCUUUCCCCUUGGGAUCCAAAUUUCUUGAACUCCUGCUUGAUUUUUUGUUGAUAAUAUGGCACGGUAACGACAACGUCUCUUGCCAGGCAGUUCAAAACAUUGCGACUUUUUACGAUUUCCUAAAACAUAAAUAAAGAACUACACUUUUAGUAAACAUAUACAGGACUUAAAAACAAUAAGGGAACGAAUUUGGAUUUAGAUAUGUUCUACGUUUGAUUCUAUCCGAUAUAAGAAAAUAAAAUAGAGAGUUCAAAGUUGAAAUCCAAGGGAAAUAAAUAAAAGAUUUGCGUACCUUUCUUCCCGUGUUCUCGGCGAGCAAAAUGUCGCUAACUUGCAAAAAUUCUUUAUUGAUAGCAGUUCUGUUCAACCUCCUGUCUCUCCUUAAAAUAGCAACGAUUUCACUAUUUUCAUGAAUAGCAGCUAGAUGCCAAGGAGUGUUUCCAUCAUUAUCUGCUUCGUUUAUAAGUCUCGCAAGCCUAGGCGUCUUCAAAACGUACUUCACAACAUUUAUCUUUUCGCCUAAAACUGCUGCAUGUAGAGCUGUUUGGCCCUUGUGAUUGACACAAUCACAAAUAUCAGGACAACGUCCGAUCAACUCUUCAAUUAUUUGGGUGUGCCCUGCAUAUGCCGCGACGUGGAGAGCUGACAUGCCAAGCUCGUCUUUGAUGUAACAAGCAAAUUUGAAAGUUUUGCAAUUUUGAAUCAGUAGUUGAGCUGCUUUAAGGUUCCCUCUCAGUGAUGCGUAGUGUAAUGGAGUCCACCCUAUUUCAUCACGAACUUCGACCAUCCCAGGAUUUUUGGUAACCAUAGAUUGCACAAUUCCUAAAAUGUUGAUAUAGAAAAAUUAGAAAUUGUGUUGUGGGAAUCAAGUAUAUAUAUGAAAAUAAGGCAUACCAAGUAACGGUAGCUGGACUGAGAUGCAUAUCUCAAUCAUUAAGGAUAUAUUAUCGACUGUCAAUAUGUCAUACUCAAUAACUAAGUUGAUGGGAUUCCGUGCAUAAGAAGGGUCUAGUACGGUAGUACAAAGUAAUGUCAUGAAGUUAAUUACCUUUCUUGGCGAAGGGUAUACGAGUGGCUGCUGCGUGCAAAGCGGUCACACCAUUUGUUCCCUGAAAAGAAAGAGAUUCAUGAUCCGGAGUCUUUUUUAAAAUAUAAUCAGCAAUGCUGGUAGACCCGGCUCUAACAGCUAGGAACAGGGGUGACUCCCUGGUGCUGUAAAAUGAACAACACAAUUCAGGAUCAGCACUCAGCAAAAUCUUCGCUACUCCAGCAUGAUUGUAUCGAACAGCAACAUGCAGUGCUGUAUCCAUUUCCAAAUUCGGCAUUCGGAGUAGUUUUUUGUAAGCUUCACCGUCAGUUGGUGCCUUUUCUGGAUCAAGAUCAACCACUUCCAUAGGUUCCGCUUUUGUGUGCUCAAUGAGGAACGUUACUACUUCACCGCAACCUACUCUCGCAGCAACAUGUAGAGGAGUUUCGCCAUUCUUGUUGGUGGCCCAAAACCGGGGAGAUUCGGGAUUUUUUUUCACUUUUUUGAAGAAGUUUAUUUGCUUGAAUUCAGCUGCAAUGUGAAGAAUAUUGUUCUCUUUAGGUGUUUUCUGAGAGAGAUCAGCUGUUAGAAGUCCUUCCAAGAAGCCAACAUCACCAGUUGCAGCUGCUUCAUACAGAGAAGGAUUCAUGCCUUCCACCUCUCUCUCAGAUUUCCUAUAAAGUAUAAAGUUGAAAUAAGAGCACAAAUGCAAAUUGCAAUGGAGGAUUUGUGAACCAUAUAGGUUCACUUAUAGGAGGUUGCCAAUUGCAUGCCAAGUAGGCAAGUAGCCAUGCCAAUUGCAUGCCUAUCACCAUUCAAAACACUUGUGCCGUCCACCAUUCAAAAACACUUUGUUUAUUUUUUCUUCUCUUCUUGUCAGUAACCCAUUCAAAACUUUUUAUUUUUUAUAUUAUUUUUCUUUCUUUUUCCCACAUGGUGCCGGGACGGAAACCAACGGCAAGCUGGCAUCAAACAGGGGCAAACACGUAAUUUUAAUGUGCAACAAAGAAAGGAACUUGAAAUCUGGCAUCAAAUGAGGGGCAAAUCCAUCAUUUCACUGUUGGUGAACAGUGCUUCCUCUCACAUGAUGAACAGUGAUCUUUUCUGCUGAACUUUAGUAUAUAUAAUAAUAUAUAUAUACAUAUAUUAUGUUUUAUCCUUUUCGGUGUCAGAAACCAUGUGCUUGUGUUUGUCUUCUAACAUUUUUUAAUCUUAGAUUUUUGUCCACUACAAACCUUAUCCAAAGCAGAUGAGAGACGUGGGCAGGGAAGGACAAAACAGACUUUUUACUGUAGCAAAGUGUGAACAGUACGAAUUCAAGGUCAUUCCCACCCUUUAACUGUUGAUGAACAGUGCACGCUCUCACAUAAUGAACAGUGCCGAUCAACUGGACUUUGGCAUAUAUAAAUAAAUAUACACACACAUAUAUAUACUAUGGUUGUUGUAUUUUAUAGUUAAAUUUUUUUAAUAGUUUAAAAAAUUAAAAUCAUCGAAAUAAUUUUUUUUUAACGUAUCAAAACGAUUUACCCGAGUGUCACUCUCGUGUAAACUUGUUAAAGAUACAUUAUUAAUGAGUUCUUAUCGUGUGACCUAAUAACAAUCCAAUUAAUUAUUGUAUUGAUCCAAAACUCUUUAUUUUUAUGUUUAUGUGUCGUGUUAACAAAUCAUGUAAAAAAAUGUCCGGUUUACUUUUCAACUUUAAAUUAUUAGUUCGUUCAAUGUUGGUGUCUCUUUGUCUUUUGGUUUAAAAAAUGCACCUGUCAACUAUCAUCGUCAUCGAAUAGUCUGUCAGUCUUCCAAGGAAACUUGUAAGUAUUUUCAUCCGGAACACUGCCAAAACCAAGACCACAAUUUCUGUCAAAGUAUUUCAUACACGUGAAUAAUUAUUGUGGUGCGAUUUCUGGAACGAGAAUUCUCUCCGAAUCCUCCGCUUUGUGAGGAUUCCGAAAAUUCUUUAAUCGUGUCUGUUUAUCAUAUAUGAUACGAUUAUUUUUUGUCAGAUACUUAUUAUCCACGACAGACAUGAAUAAUUUCCACACAAAGUAACUAAAACGAUGGGGUAUUACCUAAGAACCAAUGAAGUGAAACUUUGCUUGCUAUGUAUGGAUAUGCAUGCUAUAAGAAACCAUUCAUUUGUAGAUCAUAUUACGUCAUCAGUAUUAUACUCAUACUCUCAGGUGAUCAACCUACUACAUGAGGAAAACACGGAAAAGGCAAAGCAUAAAAGUAGAAGACAAUAUUUGAGCAUCUAGCAGGAAUAGUUAGUUUUUGAAAAAAAUUGCUAAACAGUCUUACAAAUUCAAUUGUUAAACGUUACACUAUGACCUAAGAUAAAAAUAAAGUAUAGGGAACUUUAACGAAAAACUCCCGGUACAGUUCACUUUAACGAAAAACCACAUUUUUACACUAAAAAGUCAAUUCUAAUACUAUUCUCUUUACCCUUUAUUUUGUCCUUAUCGUUAAAACUCAAAGUUUUCAAGUCAUUUUCAUUAGUUUUCCUUGAAGUUAUAUAGUUCAUUCACAUAUCAAAACGAAGUACUAUCAAAGGAAAAUGAUUAAGAAGUUGAAAAUACAAAACUGGAUUGGGCAACCAUAUCUUUUAUCGGUAACUAAACAAAUAAUUUAGAAUUGUACAAACCCGAUUCUAGCUCAUCUGCCUCCUCUCAUCCUCAGCUCUGUAUUUCAAAGGCUGAGUAGCCACGUUUGGAGAAGUUGUCAAAUAAUCACCAUCUGAAGAUUGAGAAUAACCUCCAUUCACAUUGCAAAUUUUUUUUUAGAAAAUGGGACAAAUUAACAGAUUUAGAGUUAAUUAUUCUGAUGCAAACAUUCUUAAGAUAAAUUAAGCAGAAAAAAUGAAACGAAUCCAAUGAAAAUAUAGAAGGAAAAUGAUUUAAAGAAAAGUUAAACUUUAAAUACAUCAAAUUAGUGAUUAAUCAACUAGAUAGUUAGUCUCAAACCAAAGAGUCUCAAUGAUCUCGCAAUACCAGGGACAUCACUCUCCCUGUUAACUCUCAACUCCUCAACUCCAUCACUCUCUCCCCCAUUGUUUCUAAUUCACCUCUCCUUCGAACUCUUCGACUACAAAUUUAUAUAUAGCAACUUGAACUGUCCAUUUCAAAUCAUAUAUACAUAGGCAAAAAAGCAAAAACUAAACUCCUGCCGCAUAAAUUAAUUGGUAACCAAACAAAGAAAAAUUCUUGGAGACCAGAACAAAUCCAAUUGAAUUUUCAUGAAACGUAUACUUAAGUGCCCAAAAUUUGAGUUUUACAUCAUAUUAUGUUCUUCUUACACAAACAGUUUCUCGGCUGUUAGGUAAUUUUUGUGGCUUUUGAUCAAUAGUUGUACUUAUAUACCCAAAAAAAUAAAAUAGUCAAACACAAAUGAAAGAAAGACCUAUCAAAUUAAUAAGAAAUCCAAGUUAGAGUUGUUAAAAUUCACUUUCAUCUAUACAAUUCAAACUUCGACAUAUUUGUUCAUACACUUCACCAACUGUCAGACACUGCUAAUUACCAAGAUAGCAAGAUAAUGAAUUCUGUGAACAAAAAAAUGAAAAAUGAUAUGCAAUUUGAACUUACAUGCCAAAGAAGCUCCAUAAGAGUAGUAGCUUCCUGCUUAUUGCAUGCAUCAAAAGCAUUGCAACCGCAGAUCCUGAAAAUUAUCAAAAUUCAUCCAGUCAAGAGGCAAUAUCAUAGUUGUGUGAAGGUGAAUAUGCAACCAAUAAUCUAAGAUAUACCUGACAAAUUUGCAAUUUCAUUAUAAUUUCACACAAAAAAAAGAUCAAAUUUUGAUUCAAACAUCAAACAAAAUAAUCCCAUCUGUUACAGAUUGGACCAACCAAAUAAAGAAUCUAUUAAUAUGAUUUUUGUGACAGCCCGUCCCUGAUUUUAAGAGUUUUAAAGUUUUAAUAAAGGAUUUACAAAAAUGCCCUUUGAGGCACGCGCAUUAUUCGAGGUUAAUCGUUGUGUCGUGCCAUCUAAGAUUUAUUUUCUUGACAUAUCCUCGUAGUAUUCGUCACUACGGACGUGUGGGCGCUGACGGUUCAUGAUUUGGAGUUAUAUCGAAAAAGUUAUUAACGUUUGAAAUUUGGGAUUUUAAGGAAUUAUAAUUUUAGUAAAAUUUAGAAUUUCUUUUAUGAAAAUGGACGGCCCAGAUUUAAUGAAGAAUUAAAUGGAUGGUUGGGAUGAGAGAAAGAAGGUUUUAUGUGUGUAAGUGUGUGUGCGUGACUGGUGAAGAAAGAAGAAGAAUGAGGAUUGGGCAAAACUGCCCAACCAGAAGGAAUAAGAAGACAGCUCCGGGAAAGAAAGGAGAGAAGUUGGGCGAAUGGGGAGAAGAGAGAGAAGCUUUUGGCCAAUCAGAGAAGGGGAAAGGAGGAAAGGAGAGAGGGCGAGAAGCGGAGGAAGAAGAACAGAAAUGGGUUUUCAACCCAUGACCCGCGCGACCCGGUGGGUUUUCCACCCAUUUCCGUCGAAAUUUCUUCACUUUUCCGGUGAGUUACUUCAAACUAUCACUUGGAAAACCCUCUAUGAUCUUCCCUCUUCCUAUUACACCCAAAAAAUCAAGGAAUUUGGCCUUGAAAUUGGUUGAAACUGUUCGGUGUGUGCGGUGGCUUAGUGUACAAAUUCUUCAAAUCUUGAAACGUUUUCUUUCAAUUACUAACACCUUUAGCAUUCCCUUAGGACCUAGAACAAAGCCCAAGCAUUGGUUGGGACGACGGAGUUGAUUUGAAGGUCGAAUUGAAAACACCCAAUCUAGGGUUCCACACGGAUUGUGGUGAAAUUGAAGUGUUUCCAGGCCAAAUUGGCCUUGGCCUCAGGUAUAAAGUUUACACUACUCACUGAGAUCUUCAAUUCUGUAUUUUUUUAGAAUUUUUGGAAAUAGUUGGAUUUUACGGUGAGCCGGGGCGGCCAACCGCCACCCUCGGCAGCCCGUGGCCAAUGGCCCGCCAAUGUCAUUCUUAGUAUGUGUUUAAGGUUCUAGGUUCAGUUUUUAUAAUUGAUGGACGUAAAUUGAGUAAUUGAACCUAAGUUCGUUACGAUUCGUGGUUAGGUGAAAAUAUGAAUUGACGAUCCGACCGUUUGAUCGUCACCAAACUUUGAUACAUUGUAAUACGUAAUAUUUGAAGAUUAUAGGAACUUAUGGAUUGGGAAUCCGAUUUACGAAUCUUCCGGAAUUGGAGUUGUAAGUUCAUAAAAUAGAAUGUUAACCUUCACUUGGUUUUGGAAAUUGACGGAGAUCCGACCGUUGGAUGGUAAUGAAAUUUUAGGAUGUUGUCCUAGAGGUAUAUUGUGGACCUUUGGAAGUUAUGGAUUUGAAAUAUGAGUUGCAGAUCUUUCGGAUCGAACUACGUAGUGACGUGUUUUAUAUAAGUUAUAUAUUCUAUCGAUAUGAUUUCUGAGGUUGAAUUUGAUUAUUGUUCUAGGCGCCGAUCGUCAUAACGCCUUGAUGUGUUGUGCUAAGGAGUUGUUGGGCGAACUCCAGGUGAGUGGGCAGUAUUUCUGUUUAUACCUAUAUACUAUUUAUAUUUUUCCCAGAAAUUGAGUUUAAAUGAAAGUACGUUUUAAAAUGUCAUGCAUGCAUAUUAUGGGAUAUAUGAAUUGAUAAUUGAUGUGUGUAUAUAUAUAUAUAUAUAUAUAUAUAUAUAUAUAUAUAUAUAUAUAUAUAUAUGUGAAUUGGUGCUGUGGACGCACAUGUGAGUAUCAUGUGAGUUUUAUGUUAUUCAUGUGAAUCAUUGAUGAUGUGAAUUGUGUUGAGAGCUCAUAACCUGCACCCCUGGUGUUAGUGCUUAUAUGAUUCACCGCACCGCACGCUCACCUUGGAUCCAAGUAGGUGCAUGUCGUACAGACCAUGAGAGUGUUCCGACAUGCUAGUCGUAUAGAUCACUAGAGGUGGUUCCGACUAGUAGGUGACUUUAGAUUAUGUGCACAGAUGAUUGAUGAGAGAAGCACUAGAGCGUAUUCUUACACCAUUCUUAUCAUACAGACUACUUUAAGUAGUUCUGAUUUAUGUGCAGAGUAGUGUCGUACAGGUCACAGUGGUGACUCCGGUUGGAUUGGAUAUUGAGCUAUAGAAUUAACCGUACAGGACCAACUGCAGGGUCUCCGGUUGAUUCUUUAUUUCACCUAUUAUAUUGAUGCAUCCAUAUUCUGUUUUUGACAUUAUAGCAUGACAUACUUUCUGGUUUUGAUAAAGAUUGAUGAUUUGAGAUAUUUGAAGGUAUAUGCUAUUAUGUUAUUUUCUGAGAAAAUAUACAAGUUUUACAACGAGGGGUUAAAAAUGUUUUAAAUGAAAUAUUUUCGAAAAACUUUCGUUUUACUGACCCACUCAAUUUUGUUUUGCGCCCCUCCAGGUUCUAGAUAGCAGAGCUUUGGUGGCCACGAGGAAUCCAACGGUGUUCUGACAGAAUUCACAAAAGUAGGACUCACCCUCGGGUGUUUCAUCUUAGUAAUUGUAUUUUUAAAGCUUCCGAACUGUGUAAAUGGUUGCGUCACACUCACGUGACGGCCAGCAUGCCCUCCUUCGGGACGGGGUGUGUCAAUUUUCAACCUAACUAUAAAAAGGAGAUUUAUAACGAUCAAUAUAAUUUCAACCCAACUGAAAAGAAACUAAUUGUGUAUCAUAAAUUCCAUGGGUAAUUUGAUUUUGCAGAUUAAAAAGAAUUGAAGAAUACUAAAAAUUACAAAACCCUAUCACAACAUACCAUCAGCGAUGAAUUAAAUCCAAAUGUAAACUGCAGUUUCUUAUAAAGCAUAUCCAAAAGUAAAUUGCAGUUUCCUAUCUCUCCGAGCAUCUAAACAGAAACUGUAAUUCAAAACUCUGAUUUCAAUAACCCAAAAAGUUUAAAUUGCUCACCGUUCUCUUGACCGUGGAUUACAUUAAGUAUAUGGAGUUUAAAAUUUAAAAACAAAAAAACAAAAAAACAAAAAACAGAUAACAAAUAGGGAGUAAGAGAUCAAACAAUGAGUGGUUCAAUUAACCUUUUUCUGUUGGUCGCGUCUGUGAAUCCUUUAAUUUGCAGAAUGAGCUUGGGAACUCUUCCCACCAAACUCCCACAAUCAACACUCCUGCGUCAAAAGGGAAAGGAAAAACAGUUGAAUAUUUGAACUGCACCAAACAGAUUGAUUGAUAAAAAAUAAACGAACAUGACACGACCAAUGAAUUUCACCAAACGGGAAGUAAUAAAAUAUUCGACACUGAAUGAGUUGGAAUAAAAACAAACACAACUGCAUUUUCUUAUUCUUCUCCCACGUUCAUGAGGCUUCUUUUUCAUCUUUUUCUCUUCUAAUUUCAAAGAACACAACAAUUAGCACAGCCUGCUAUAAGGUAGAGGAAGCACAUGGGUCUCCUCAAAAUGGAUGUCCAGGGUUGACCCUUAUGCAAAAGGAAGCAUGGGGAGCAUAAAUGGGAUAUCAAGAGAGGAUGUCAAGUAAAUUUGCAACACAAAACCCAACCAGCAACAAUUUGUUCAUGACAUCUUAAAACAUCAAAUUUCAAAAUAGGACAUUUAAUGCAGAGAGCUCAAACUAUAAUAAUUGGUGAAUCAAAUAUUUUCUAUUGAAUUUAUCCUUUCAAUUGGUUGGUAUUUUCGUUUAUCCUCGUAUCUUUCAAUUGCCACCCAAAACUAACAUCUGAGAGAGCAUUGCACUUCUUAUCUUUAAAAGCACGAAUGGUGAACUAAAUCAAAGAAUAAGAAUCAGCAAUGAACUAAACAAAAACACACUUUUUACGAACAUUAUUCGCACAAAAAUUAAAACUGUAUUGAGAAACUCACCACCCCAUUUCUAAUGAAUGACGUAUGAUGAUAGGAACAUCAUACAGUGAAUUGCACAUAAAGUAAAACAUCAAGUAUACCUCAAGGUGACAUUAGAUACGAUCAUUAUCCAGUCUUCAUCUUUGACACCAAGAGCACUCAACAUCUCAGAAUUCCUCAUCUCCCUACCCUCACAUAGCACCUUCUGCUGCUGAAGCAGUACCCGUGUCUGCUCAUACGCAUCGAAGAACAUAUCACACAUUCAAUAUACAUUUCUCUAUUAAUUAAUCAGCUAACUAAAUUUAAAAUUAGCUUCCAAACCAAAAAAAUUUCUAAAUUUUUUAUUUUGCAAUCACACCCAGUUCUUCAUCUCUUACUCUAAAUCCCAAUUACAAAAAUAUCUAAACUUUACUUCAAUUUAAUAUUGUUUUCCCCAAAAACAGCACAAUCCCAUAAAAAUAAAGUUAAAAAAAAACAACAAUAAAUCAUGAAUUAAAUUAAACUUCUCACCUCCACCUCCAACAGAGUUUUCACAUUCUCAACCUAUCAUAAAAAUAGAUAAAAAAAAAUCAAAUCAAAUUCAAGUAAAAGUAAAAAAGAGAACUUGAAUAUAGCAACCCUACUCCACCCAGUUCUUCAUCUCUUACUCUAAAUCCCAAUUACAGAAAUAUCUAAACUUUACUUCAAUUUAAUAUUGUUUUCCCCAAAAACAGCACAAUCCCAUAAAAAUAAAGUUUAAAAAAAGACAACAAUAAAUCAUUAAAUUAAACUUAUCACCUCCACCUCCAACAGAGCUUUCACAUUCUCAACCUGUCAUAAAAUAAAAAAAUAAAAAAAAUCAAAUCCAAGUAAAAAUAAAAAAGAUAACUUGAAUAUAGCAACCCUACUCCCCCUCCUUCUCCCUCUCCCUCUGCAAUUCACGCGUGCACCCCCUCCCUCUGUAACCCUCCCCCUGCGAAACCCCUAAACCCCACACGUAUGCCCUAUAUCUUGUGGCUACAACCUCACAAAUCGUCCCCAUCACCUCGAUCCCAUCGAACCACAAAUCAGGCACAAUUUAUGAGAGUAAUUGUAAAAAUGGAUAAAACACUUUAAAUAAAAGUUUUAUAAAAAAGCUUUUCAAUCCAACACCAUCCAAAACCAUAAAAGAACAGAAUAAAGACACCAAAAGUAAAAAAUAAAUAAAUUUCCACAUUCAACUUUCACAGUAUAAAAAACACAACUUUCACGAUAUUAAGAAAAAAAAUUGUUGGAGAAAAGGCUCAAAGGAAAAAUCCAAAAUUAUUUACCUUGAGCAUAAAGGGCUUUGAAAGAUGUAAACAAAAGCCCCAAAAAACGAAGAGCAUAGUGACCUGAAAUAAAAAAAUAAAAGCAAAUUAUACAACCGAAAGAUCUAAUGAUAUAAACAAAAUACCCAAAAUUAUAAAAACAAAAUUACAAAAAAUGAAGAACAAUGUGUUCUGAAACGAAAAAAAAAGAAAAUCAUAUGCCCAAAAUUAUAACGGACGAUUUCAUAUUUUGUAGAUAGAUGACACUCCCUUUUGUCAUGUAUGAUAAAUAUUCAAAGUUAUAACAUCUCAAUUCCACAUAAGGCAAUAAACAAACCUUUGGAGAGAUGCCAGUGGACAGUCAAAAGCUGGGUCUCAUGUUGUGGCAACGACUCAUGCUGCUGUUCAUCGAUCAUUGCAAAAGAACGCAAAGUUCUAUAUUGCUAUAGUACAUACUAGAGAUUUAUGCCCGCACGUUGCUGCGGGAUUGGAAAUUGUAUCAAAUGGUCUAGAUUAAAAAAAUCAAUUCAAUCAAGAUCCAUAUUCUCAACAAACAAACUGUAACGGAGAACGUGAUAGGAUUUGAUCACAAUGCACAGCGGAAUCAACAACUAAUAUUCAACACUACACAAUCCAAAACAGUAAUGAUAUUAAGUUUUUUUUAAAACCUGAUUGUACUAAGUGAUUCUUUCAAUAAUAUGAUAAAUUAAAUAAAAAGAUCACUACCAAUAGUUUAGAUUAAAACAAUCAAUUCAAUCAAGAUCCAGACUCCAACAGGACAACUAAAAGCAAAGAGUUGAGGGAAGAAACAACACAAAUGACUGGUUCCCCGAAAACCAUUUAAGUAGAGUUAAAAAAAAGGGGUUAGUCGUGACCAAAUUUAAGAAGUCACUAAAACCAAAGCUCAAUUGCAAACCUCCUUGUAUUCCAUGUAUGCAAUGACUCUGCUAAUAUGUUCACAGUCAUGUUGACCUGUAUAAAGAAAAACUCAUUUAGUUCAUAGCAAAUUGUGAGUCAUUCUGAAUAUAAAAACUUCCUUUUUCAAUCACCCAUCUAAAUAAAAAAAUCAACUCCAAAAUUGAUGGUCAGAAGUAUAACUAAAUGAAAUGAGAAAACAGUUCAAGAACCUGCCAAUGUCAAGUACUAUGAAUUUGUGGGAUUAAAAAUUGUAUGAAAGAUUGUGUCAUAGAAUAUUACUAAAAUUUACAUUGAAAACGUUAGAAAUUUUUUUACACACAAUAUACUCAUUUACAAAAGAAAACAGAGCCACUGAAACGAACAGGGAUAUCAACCAAUCAUCGCAGUACAAAACCAGUAAAUACAGAAUUCACAGAACUGAGUGACUCUUACACAAUCCAAACAUAGAAUUUUAGAUUGUUGGUAUAAGAUGAUUAACUCUAAUUACACUAACGCGGACACUAUCUCUGAAGAAAACUAAAGAGAAGGACAAAAGUUGUGAAGAGUUAUCAACCAAAGUACAAAGACCAUAAAGCAUGAAAUGUUAAAGAAGAGCAGAUUUCCACGCAAAUGAUGCAUAUUGCUGUCAUAGCUCUGAGAAUAGCUAACUAAACCAAUCUAACUCUAAAGGCAGCCAUCAUAAAUUAGAAAGCUCAUUCGACAAAAGGCUAUAUUAAAAAAAGGUUCAUGUAUAUGCCCAAUUACACAAACAAUUUUGCUAAGGAAUGCCUUUCCAACCUCCUCCUACAGCAACAGACUCUGCAUGUACAAUUUGAUAGUGUUUCUACCAGAUAAUAUAGCCAAUGGGAUUAACAAUUAUUAAAGUUGACCCUCCACUACAACUAUCCAUUCUGCUAUAUAUUCAUUCUCUUGCAAAACGUUCAAAAGGAUGAUAAGAAAAUCUUGUGUAUAUAAAUUAUAGCCGAUGGUAUAUGUCCGUUCUCUUCUACCAUUACAACCAAUGAGAUAUAUACAUUCUCUUCUACCAUUAAGACAUAUAAGAAAAUAACUAUUUAACCGAAAAUGAAGAUCUAAAAGCUAGCCACUGUACAUGUUCUGUCCAUUCUAUUCUACCAUUGAAGCAUGCAUGUUAAAAAAAAUUUGUAAAUCUAAACGCUUAUUUCAAACAGAGCAUGUCCAUUCAGCUCUUAAAACCGAAGGAAAAGAUUUAGGUUUCUUUCUUACCCAAAUCCACCAAUUUGAAUCAAAUCUCUGCAACCCUUCCAAUCAAACGCAAAUUAAUACAACCCUGCAAUCAAUAAACAAAACAAACAUAAAAAAUUCAACAAAGAAAGAGAAUCCAGAAACCAAACCUAUCAAUCAAUUCCUAAAAUCAACAAUAAAAAAAAAAUCAAUAAAUUAGUAUCUAACUCCACAAAUAAACAAAGCCCAUAUCAAAUAAUGAAAUCCAGCGAGUACCUCUAGAGUGAGAGAGACUUACAGGGAUCGCAGACGAAAACAGAGAAUAACACCAAAAAAAUGGGUACUGACUUAGGGGUUUUAAACGCAACAUGCAGCAACUAUUUAUUUUUCAAAGGGUUUUAAACGCAAGAAAUUUGCACAGAUGAUUUGGCUAAGAAAAAUGAGAAAAUCGAAAACGGAGAAAAAGGCAGGCGGAAAAACAAUGAGAGAGAGAGAGAGAGAGAGAUGUGAGGGAUGAGGGAUGAGGGAUGAGGGGAUGAGGGAUGAGGGGAACUCGACCCUUGGUGGUUGCUCGGGGGACAGGCGAAGGGAAAGGGCCCGAGGGCCGGUGGAUAGAGCUCUAGCGUUGGGCAGCCCGAGUGAAGGUGGGAGCUCGAGGGCUAGGCCGUGGAGGAUUGCCAGCCCUGCAGCCCGAGGUGGGUGUGACGUCAGGCUGACGCCAGGCCUGGCGUCGGUUUUUUUUUUAUUUUUUUUGUGUCAGGCACGUGCCCCUCACUUGCGAGUGGGGGCGCGUCAGACAACAGCUUUACAGGGCACAGGGCCUGUGCGCCAGUUUCAGCAGGUGGUCGUUGGAAAGCCACGUGGCUUCCCACGAUCCGUUCGAUUUCAACGGCUCUUUAAUCUGAGCUGUCCGAUUUGCAACGGUAAUAAAAAAACUAAUUUAAUAUCAACCGUUCGAUUUGAGAUUAACGGUUGAUAUUAAUCUGCUUUAUAAAUUAAAAAAAAUAGUUUUAAAAUUAAGAAAAGUUACCGUUGUGACACGUGGCACAAUCUGGAGUGUUAGAAUUCAAUUUUUUUAAAUCCAACGGCAGAGAUUAAUUAUUUGAAUAAAAAAAUUUAAAAAUUGUAAAAAAUCUGAAAAAAAUAUCUGAAAUUUUUUUUUAAAAUGUUUCUACUUUUCUAUAAAUACAUUCUCAUUAUCAUCUACCUUACACCACAAUUUCAUAUUUUCUCAACUACUUUCAAUCACAUUCCUAUCUUUCUCUCAAAGUUUCAAUCCAAUUUUUUUCAACAAAACGACACGUGGCACGAUGACAUUGGAUAAAAAUCUUAUCGAAAUCUAUGACCAAUAAUAGUCGUUUUGGGUAAAUGACAUAUGGCGCAACGAGAAUGAUUUAAAAUAUCUUAUCCGAAAUUACAAAUAAAUUUAUUUAGUAUUAUUUUGUAAAAAAAAAUAAUAAUAAUUUUUUAUUGCCUAUUGCCAGGGCUAUUCAAGUGCAACGGUGGAGAUGCAAAAGGCAGUUACUGUUUAUUAGGGUAGUUACUGUUCACAUGGUGGAUUGAAUAGUGGAUUGCCUGGGGGAAGGCUCCAAGGGUGGAGUUACUCUGAGAGAGAGGGGGACAUAUGGGAAUGGCAGAGAGCAGUGAGGGAUGAGAGAGAGUGACAGUGUUGGGAGAUAGGAAGUCUCAAGGGGUGGAGAAAAUAUUAGAAAGCAAAAACCAAACACACUUUUCAUAUGUUUUAAUCAUUUUUUUCUCUCUAACCAAUUUUUUUAUUAUUUUUUAUCCUUUUCGAUGUCAGAAAACAUGUGCUUGUGUUUAUCUCCUAACAUUUUUUUAAUCUUAUUUUUUUGUCCAAUACAAACCUUAUCCAAAGCUGAUGAGAGACGCGAGGCAGGGAAGGACAAAACAGACUUCUUACUAUAGCAAAUUGUGAACAGUACGGAAACCAAAGCAGAAACCAAGGGCAUUCCUGCCCUUUCAUUGUUGGUGAACAGUGCACGCUCUCACAUGAUGAACAGUACUGAUCAACUGGGCUUUAGAGCAGCUCCAGUGGGAGCUCGUGCUUGAGGGACAAGCUGCAGAACAGGGCUUGAUUGCACGAGGGAGGAAGUCCAGCGUUGGCUGGCGAAUGAGCCCGAGCAGGCCCAAGCGCCAGGCUCGUGGAUUCGUGCCGGCCCGAGCACCCGAAGGGGAUGUGACGUGGGCUGACGUCCCUGACGUCAGCCACAAUAUAAAUUAAUAAAAAUACAAAAUAUUAAUAAAAAAUACAAAAUUAAUACAAAAUUUUAAAAAAAAUGAAAACCCAGGCUUCGAACUGAACGACUCUCGCCGGAGUUCGUCAUUGAGGUUGAUGAUACACCCACAAACAAAUGGCAGAGACUAAACCCAAGGGUUUCAACUCGAAACAUAUAAAAAAAACAAGAGAAUAACUCAAGCAAUUGAAGUAGGGUAAUAACCUCAUCUGGGUUUGAGCAAUGGAAGCUUGAAGCUCUCGGCUUCAAUGGUGGAUCACCCAAAUGGUGCUCUGAUGAUGCAUGCAAGGAUAUAUUCGAGUUCCUCUCAUCCAGGAGAUUGAGAUUUCAGAGUUUGUUGGUUUGAUUUGCUUCGGUUUCGAAAAAGAUGAAGGAUGAAAAUGAAGGAUAUAUGGAUUGGAAUUUGAGCUUGUGCCUUGGCGUUGGUCCAUUUUUUGAUUCAUGUGAGAGAGAGAAAGAGAGGGAAUAGGAAAAGGGAGAGUGUUCUGGAAAAAAAAAUGAAAAGGAAGAGUUCUGGAAAAAAAAGGAAAAGUGAGUGUUCUUUGGAAAAAAAAAAAGAAAAGGAAAAGGAAUAGGAAAAAGGAAAAAAAUUAAAAAUGAUUUUGUAUUAUGUUAUAGAUAAAAAAACUAAUAUUUUAUUGCUUAUUACCAGGGCUAUUCAAGUGCAACGGUGGAGAUGCAAAAGGCAGUUACUGUUCAUUAAGGGCGGUUACUGUUCACACGGUGGAUUGAAUAGUGAAUAGCCUGGGGGAAGGGCUCCCACGCUAAAGUUGCUCUUAGUAUAUAUAAAUAAAUAUUGAAUCAAUUCCAAAAGGGUAUUUAUAGUAAAAAAUAUGCCACAUAUACUUUUUCUUAGAAUGUCAGUCCCAUACUUCUUCGUAAAAACAUUAACAGUAGCUAUAGCCUAUAAAAAUAGAAAAUCAACUGUUUACCUGCAUCAUCACAGAAUGGCAGCCACAAAAAUUACCCAGGUAAAAACUGAAUGGAAAAACUACCUGUCUCAUGCCCUCAGAGAGGCAUGGGAUCUUUUAUCAGUGCAAAAUUGAUUUGAUAUCAUUUUGUAAAAAAAAUUAGAAAGCAUAAAAUAGAUGAAAAUUAAGGCUUACAUGGUGAACAUUCUUUUUUUGCUUGUCAUACCAUUGAAUUUUUAUUGCAUUCGCAGAUGAUAUGCAAGGGCUGUCAAAGCAAAAGAUAUAUGUUCUCAAAUUGUUAAUGGAAAUGGAAACACAAAGGAAAACAGUUAUUCAUAUCUAAUGACCAAAUAAAACAGUUGCAUAAUAUAUGUUCUAACCAAAUAAAAGUAGGCCGACUUGGUACCAUUCAAGAAAGCCCUAUCCGCAUUCACCACAUCUGCAUAUAGUAGCAUUUAUGGGAAGCGUGAAAAUCAUUGUUGAUAUAUCAUAUAUCAACAACCAUCCUUAUAGAGAUGUGACAACAAACCAACCUGAACGAAAUGUAGUCAGAUCGAUUGGCGAAAGUUAUUAUCCAUUUCGUAUCCUACUUUAGCACUGGAAAUAGAUGCUUUAAAAUAUUUGCUGCCCUUUCACCCAACUAUGAACAAUCAAGAAAAUAAAAUCAUAUUCAAUAGAACAGUAACUACGCAAGCUAACUCAAAAAGAUGUAUUGAUGCAGUGAUAUAAGUGUACAUAAGAUUAAGACGUAGCAGGAAUGGAUAGAUCAGAAUUAAUAAGAAUUAAUCAGGGAGGGAGGGAGAGAGAGAGAGAGAGAGAGAGAGAGAGAGAGAGAGAGAGAGAGAGAAUUAUAUCACAAUCAAGGUAGGUUAUCAACUAUAAUCAAUCAUCCUCAUCCCUCAACCGUUAUAAACUAUCUCUAAUUGGAUCAAUGGGGUCUGAUCAAUCUUGGCAUAAUGUACGGAGCAAAGUAAGCAAUCAAGAUGCUGGAAUAUUUAAUUGAGAUAUAAUACCUUGGUUGUGAAACUGUCAAGUAUCAGAUGUGGAUAAACCUGCAUUCACAUGGCUUCCCUUUCUCCAGCCAAUACCACACAGCAUCAUGCUCAUCCUCUGCGAUUAAAAUACAACAACGAAAAAAUCAAAAUUAUAGCAAUUCAAAAUUUAAAAGAAUCAUUUUUUUUUAAAUGAAUCAGUGAACAAGCAUAGAUUUGCACAUAGAAAGAGAAAAGAAACAAGGAAGAUAGGAAUACCCACUCUCUGUCACCCCUCUGCAAGCCCACCCACCCUCCCAACCAAAUUGUUUGAGACAGAUGAAACCCUAACCCCAACUCUCCUAAGGAUGCAAUCAGAGCUUCGGGUUUCAGGAAGCAAAUGAAAAACGAAGUGCGUUUUCAUCCCUCACCCUUUCUACGAUCGUCGACACGUGCACGGGAGAAGCGGUGACAAUUUAGUAAAUAAAUCAAAAUUUUCAAUCUGAAUGGAAGAGGUGGUGGUAAUUUUGUAAAUAACUCAAAAUCCACCCCAAGUCACUGUUCAUUUGUACAGUGCAAUUUCUUCUUCUUCUUUUUUUUUUGGACAAAGGCUUACUUUAUUUAUUGGGUAAAUAUCAGUUUACUACCCUCAAGUUUCGUAGUUUUCAACAUUUAGUAUAUGAAGUUUUUUUCGUCUCAGAGUCAUACAUAAAGUGUUAAUUUUGGAACAGUCUCCUACAUCCGUUAGUUUAACUAUUAAAUCAGUAGUUAACUGAUGACGUGGCACCACAUGGACAAUGACUGGGCGCCACGUGUCAAUAUAACGCCCACGUGAAUAUUAAAAAAUUAAAAAAUUAAAAAUUAAAAAAAAAAUAUGGGCACCCACCCAUUCCCCCUCCCUUCUUCUCCUUCCCUUCUCUUCCCUGCACCCAUCGUCCCCGCACACCCACCCAUUCCCCUUAUUCUCCCUCCCUUCUCUCCUCUGCACCCACCCACCUAAAAUCAAACCACAUAAAAAAACACAAAUUUCCCCCCAAAAUUUCUUACCAUCUAAACACCCUCUGCUUCCCCCUCUUUCUCUCCCAGAUUUUAUUUGUAUCCCUUACAUCCCACACUUUCUCACGCUUUCCCGGAAAAUUUUUCAUCUUCAAAUCUUCAACAUGAGGCAAUAGAAAGGUAUGCCGCCUCAUUGGGACCUACCAACUCCGUUCGUCGAGCUUUCAAAGGAUUCAAAUCGCAGUUGAUUUGGAGAAAGAGAUCUAUAUGAUGAACAAUGAUUUCAGAUUGGAUGGAAAAUCGGAUGCCACUGGAGAGGCCGAGGAAGCUAGAGCUACGGUUUCCUAAGGCGCGUCGGUAAAGAUGGAGCUAGGUUUUGCCAAUGAAGCUUGUUUCGGGGAGUAAGGUUGGCGGAAGAUCUGAGGAAGAUAGGGCUAGGGUUGGUACGAAUAGUGAAGUUGGAAAUGUAGAUAAAGUGAUGGAAUCAAAUGGUUCUGGAAGCAUGGUGGCGGAAUGAAGGGUCACUCAGGUCUCGUAGGGUUGGAGAAAGAGAGGGCGGAUAGGUGGGUGUGCAAGGUGAGUGGGUGUGCAGAGGAGAGAAUGGAGGGAGAAUGAGGGGAGUGGGUGAGGUGUGCGGGGAGGAUGGGUGCAGGGAAGAGAAUGGAGAGAUAAGGUCGGAAGGGAGGGGGAAUGGGUGGGUGCCCAGAUUUUUUUUUAUAAUUUAUAAUUUAUAAUUUUUUUAAUAUUCACGUGGGCCCCAUAUUUACACGCGGCGCCCCAGUCAUUUUUCACAUGGGUGCCACGUCAUCAGUUAACGGUUGAUUUAACAGUCAAACUAACAGAUGUAUAAGAAUGUCCCAAAAUUAACACUUUAAGUAUGACUCUAGGACGAAAAAAAACUUCAUAUACCAAAUGUUGAAAAUCAUGAAACUUGAUGGUAGUAAACUAAUAUUUACCCUUGCUUAUAACACAACAUAUUACAUUAUAGAAGGCUUAAAUACAAGAAAUACACAAACAAAAAGAUGAACCUCUAUAGUAACCCAACAGCCCAAAACAUAGUUUUGAGGCCUGAACAGGAAAAACACCAAAGUAAACCCUAGCAGCUUCCUACCUCCGCCGUCAACCCGCUUACCAAACGAACAGCCCCUGCAACCAUCAAAAAUCAACAGAACUAAAACCCCAAAGCUGGAUGAAAAAAAAUGAAAACAAGACCCCAAAACAGAGCCUCAAACUCUUCCACAACAGACCAUAGCAGUAGCUGACACAAAUCGAAGGAAGCUAGCGAGACAAAACCCAUUAGCAUAGUGGCAACAAAGGCAAACCAAAGGAAGGAGGUGGUGUGAACACCCGAACAAAAGCUUUACUCACCUUCCGGGAGAAGCAUGAAAAAUCGCGUUGAAAAAAAAGUGGGAGCCAAGCCGAACUGUGAAGUCGGAGAAGGAUGAAGCCGAUCCAGAUUGGGGGACGUGGGGGAAAAGAGGGGGAAAAGGUGGAAGGAAGACAAAAGGAAACAAAGGGAAAAGGCGAAAGAAAGGAAUAAAAGGGAGAAAUUGAAAAAUAGAGUAAAAACAGAGACAACAGAUGUAGAGGGGUUUGAGUGGCAAACAGGCCACUGGGCGGGGGUAGAAGGAAGACGAAGGAGGAUGAAAAUCAACAAGAGAAGAAAAUAGAAGAAGAAAAGGAAAAUAGAAGAACAUAGCAGAGAAUGGGAAAAUAGAAGAAAACAAAAGAAGAAAAUGAAAAGUGGCAACCAACUCCAGCCGAAGCCGGAGUCGAUGCAUGAGAAGGUGGACAAGCUGAAGACCCUCACCAAAGGGGGAAAGAAAACUCUCACAGAGGAGAGAAGGUCUCUCACGGAAUGAAAGAUUCACUUCUUCCCCUUCUUUAGAUUAAAGUAAUUUGGUGUCCAUUGGUUUCUCAAGUGGAGACGAGGGAGGGAGAGAUCGAGUUGGGAGUCUGGGAGAUGAGGAAGGUAGGAUUGCCAUAUUGAAAAUUUCAUUAAUGACUACGGUUAACCUGUGUUUUGGUAAUAAAAAAAGCUGGUUUUUUAAAAGGAGUUUUAACGAAACACUUCCGGUAUUGUUCACUUAAAUGAAAACGACAAUUUUACUCUAAAAAGUCACUCCUGGCACUAUUCACUUACAACACUUUUUUGUCCAUUCGAUUAAAGCUCAAAGUUUUCAAGCCAUUUUCAUUAGUUUUCCUCUUAAAAAGCAUCUAUAAGAGCUGCUUCCGCUUUUCUGCUUUAAAUGGUUGUGAUUUUGAAAAAAAAAAGUUGAGUUUGCUUGAAUUACCAAACAAAAAUUCGAGCCUAGCCUUUUUUCACCCCUGUUUAAAAAAAAAAUUUUAAACAGUCCCAAACCAGUACUUGGGCUACUUUGGUUUUGCUGUGCUUUUAAAAAAAAUGUUUUUGUUGUGCUGUGAGAAUAAACAGUUGUAAAAUAAAACAGUUAUGUGUUUGGUAAACCUUUUUUUUUAAAGUGCUUUAACAAAAAACAAAAAAACAGUAUUCACGUGUUUUGUAAAUUUUAUAUAAAGAGAACUACUAAACUCAUCUCAUUGUCUUAUUUUCCCACCCACAUUAUAAACCCACCCCCUUAAAAAGUUAAAAAAUUAAAAUGUUAUUUCCCCACCCACUAUUAUUCCCAAAAUAACCUUUAAUAUAUACAUACAUAUGAAAUUAUAAAAUUGUAUCUUAAAAAAUAUAACAAAUAAUAUCUAAAUAAAAACCACUAAGGUCUACAAAUUCAAAUGGAAACGACAAAGGUAUCCAAAUUCAAAAGAAUUUGACAACAACAAUUUCAAAAAUACGAUGGACAAAUUCAAAUGACAUACACACAAAUUAUUAUUCUUCUACAUUUUCAAUAGAAACAUAAUCUUCUACUUUUUCUGUAGAAGCGUCACUUCCACAUGUUCAAUGAAAAUGUCAUCUUCUAAGUCCAUUGAUAUUGUUUUACUUUCUCUGAAUGAAAGGAGAUGAAAAUAUGAGUUAGGGUUUAAGGUAGACAAAUCGUCUCCCACGCCCAACCAUAUUUUUUUUUUAAAUUAAGCAAAACAAGAUAAUUAAUGUCCUUAUCAGUCUUUUUGCAAAUGGACAAAUUUGUAAUUAAAUUUUUUAUUAAAAUGUGGGUGGGAAGAUAAGACAUUGGGGUGGAAAUAACAUCAUUCUAUAUAAAACUGCUGUGUAGAUGUUAAAUGAUUAAAAAAUGUAUAAUAUUAAAUGUUAUAAUAAUUUAAUUGUUGUAAACAUUCCUAGUUUAAGUAUGAUUGUGUAAAUCCUAGAUAAGAUUUGAUUCUAGUUAUCCUUUCCUAUUACAACUUGUAUUACUUGGAGGAGAAGAAAUAUCUUCUCUCCCUUUACUACUAUAAAUAAAGGCACAAUGUAGGAGGGAUAACAACACACACACACAUUCCCCUACAAUUCUACAAACACACAUCUCUCUCCUCUCUCUCUCUGCCGCCGGCCCUAGUCCCUCUGUCAGAUAAAAUAGACCACAACACGUUAUCAGCACGCUCCUACCGCUGCGCUUAGGAAUCUGACGUUGGAGAUUUUUUUCUGCAUUAAACCAGUUCAUCCAUAUCAUCACGCAAUCAGGUUCUUUCCAAACAACGGUUUUUAACUCGAUAUUUUGCAAGCCCUGAUAGCAUGAACAUUCACCAUGAUGCAUGACCCAACUUUACGUUUUACGUAUUUUAGAUUCUACAUAAAUUGUGUAUGCUUCAUAAUCAAAAUUGCUACAAUUAUGUGAAUUUGAUAUUUGUCAUGAAUUGAAUCUUACAUAUGUACAUGCAUUGAAACUAUUAUUUGCAUAUGCAUCAAAGUAAAUAUGUGAUUCAUUGAAUUAUACAUGCAUAUAAUCUAAUUAAAUUGAAUUGAAAAAAAUAUUUUUUUUUGCGAUUUGGGAAUUAGGGUUCUUCGAACCCGUGCACUUGCACCAUGCAAGCCGCAAGCCACCAGGCCCGCAGCCUGCGAUGGCCCAGCUCGGUUUCCUCACUAGGCCUGCAGCCUGCAUCGAUCCUCCGAGCCCAAGACCACGGCUGGAGCUUCUGCUCCUCGUCCAAACCCCAAACCUGACACCCAGCAGGUGUCGCCACCCAUCCAUCACCGUACUGCACGGCCUGUCGCCGUGCCUAGCCUACUCAGACGACCUACAGAUCGUCCACGGUGUCCUAUGGUCUGAGAUUUGCUGAGAUCUCAUCGGAAUUUUCAUAAAUCCGAUUGAAAUUUUCUAGGGUUUGGUUGAUAUAACGUCGAGAUUUCUCCAAUCUCCGUUCAUAUUUGGUUCCCCAGUUGGACCCCCGUGUUUCCCACGAUCGAUAGCCUCCUAGAACACGGCCACCUACAGUGGCGGCGCUCCGGCAACCGUUCCCAGCAAAAGCUGGGGUGUUCCUAGUUCCAACCCGAACCCUAUUGGGCUCCAGCCUCUCGGCCCGUGUGAAAAAAAAAACAAUUUUUUUUGCUGGGCUCGCUUGCAGCGGCCCAGCCCACAAAGAAAACAAUUUGUUUUUUAUUUUCCUGGGCUCGCCUGCAGCGGCCCAUACCGAAAAAAAAAAGAAAUUUUGUUUAGGGCUGCACACAGCAGCCCAUUCAUUUCUCACCCUGUGGGCCUGCAGCCUACACCCGGGGGUACUCGGCCUAUAUUUUUAGGCCCCGAGAUUUUAUUAUUUAAUACUUUUAAAUAAUAUGGGUUUAUAUUUUCACCCACACUUUAAUUUGGCCUCGAAGACCAAAAAUAAAUUAAUUCACUUAUCAUUAUACAAUAUUUCUGCAUAUAUUCUUUGCAUAUUUGUUUGCAUAUAUAUUUGUGUUUGCCUGCAGGAAUAUAUGAACCUGAAGUUCAUAAUUACUUUGAAACCCGAAGUUCUUAUACACAUGCCUUGUUAGAAAACCCGAAGUUUUCACUUAAACAUAUCACCCAUGAAAACCCGAAGUUUUUCAUGCAAAAUUAAACCAAUACAUGUCUAUUAGAACCUGUAUGUUCUACUCCUAUGUGAAUGGAUUGAUUUUUCUCCAUUACACUAACCACAUCUUGUCCAUCUAUUUUGUGAUAGGAACAUGUCGAACUUGAACAAACUCGACUUCACCGCUUUGGAGGUUUCUGGAAGGAACUACCUCAAGUGGGUUCAAGAUGUGAAGCUCCACCUCACUGCAAAGAACUUGCGUCCUGCUAUUGAAGAAGCAACAGAUAAACCUGUUGGCGAGGCUGAAAAAGCCACUGCUAUGAUCUUCAUCCGAAGACAUAUCCAUGACACCCUACAAACUGAGUACCUUGCUGAGGAGGAUCCACGUGCAUUAUGGGUCGCUUUGGCUGAUCGUUUCGAUCACCAAAAGGACAUAUUCUUGCCUGAAGCAAGACACGACUGGCAGCACUUGCGCUUCCAAGACUUUAAGUCUGUGAAUGAAUAUAAUUCUGAAGUUUGUCGAAUCCGAUCACUUCUCAAGUUUUGCAAUGAAACUUUGACUGAAGAGGAUCUCCUGGAGAAGACCUACUCGACCUUCUCUGCUUCUAAUAUUGUCCUGCAGCAACAAUAUAGAGCUCAGAAGUUCACUAAGUUCUCGGAUUUGAUCUCUGUUUUACUUCUUGCUGAAAAGCAGAACCAGCUGUUGAUGAAGAAUUAUCAAGCUCGACCUACUGGGGCUACUGCUGUGCCUGAAGCACAUUAUAGCACUAAUCAGCACCCAAAACACCAAAAGAGGCGUGGUAAGGGCGGCCAGAAGCCAUCCCACCAAGGUCAACAGAGCCAAGGCCCAUCCAAGGGAGGAAACAAAGCCCAGAAGCGCCCAAACCUCGCUCCCAAGGCCCCGAACUUCAAGAAUAAGGGCAAAGCACCUGCCACAAUGAAUGACGAUAUGUGCUAUCGUUGUGGUUCCAAUGACCAUUGGUCCCGUAUUUUCCGUGCUCCCAAGAAGGUUGUGGAUGCAUAUCAUUCUCGUCGUACGAAGUUUGAAUCAAACUUCCUGCAAGUGGACGAACCGGAGACUACAAAGAUGGAGGUUUCUGAUUUUCAGGAGGAUACCACUCCUAUGGAAGAUUAGAAUCUUAGACAUAGACUUAUUUUUCAGUUAAAAUAAGACAAUUGGGGCCGAAUUCCACCUUGUGGCCGAACCCCACCUUGUUUUUUGGUUGAUUUUGAACAAUUUUCCUUUAUGUUUUAGAUUAUUAGUUGGCGAUUUAUUUUGGAUAUUAAGUUUUUAAUCCUUGAAUAAAUGAAAUUAUUUUGAAUUGAUACUUGUUUUUAUAAACUUUUAUGCAUGUGACCGAUUCAAAUUAAUUUUUCAUUCUAGGUAUGACUAGUGGGAAAGUUAGUUGUCUGGCAGAUAGUGCAACCACGCAUACUGUUUUGCGUGAACGCAUCUAUUUCACUAACUUCGUACCUAAGAAUGCACCUCUGACAACCCUCUCAGGCCCAUCCAACCUGAUCGAAGGAUACGGUAAGGCACGUAUAAUGUUGUCCAAUGGUACAAUCUUGACCAUUGCUGAGGCACUCUAUUCUCCACGUUCCGGAAGAACGUUACUCAGUUUCAAGGACAUUAGAGAUAACAAUUACCACGCUGAAACCCACGUAGAAAACGGAGUUGAAUUUCUGUGCGUAACUUCCUACGAAUAUGGCCAGAAGCGUAUUCUAGAGAAGAUGGAGCGUAACCCGAGUGGUCUGUAUACUACGACCAUACGCCCCAUAGAAUGCCACUAUGUGGCCGGCCUUACCACAGGGACCGCGCACGAAAUUACACUUUGGCAUGAUCGUUUGGGACAUCCUGGACGAAUAGCGAUGCGCCGUAUCCUCAAAACUUCACACGGGCAUCCACUAACCCGAAGCUUAGGUUUGAUCCUUGAAAUUGCAUGUCAAACAUGUUCUAUGGGAAAGCUUAUUACUAAGCCUUCUUAUGACAAGAUUCGUUCGAAUCCUCCUAUUUUUCUACAACGGAUUCAGGGGGACAUUUGUGGACCGAUUCAACCUCCCUGCGGACCAUUUAGAUAUUUUAUGGUUUUGGUUGACGCUUCUACACGUUGGUCACACGUGUGCUUGUUGUCCACAAGGAACGCUGCAUUCUCCAAACUGUUGGCUCAGGUUAUCAAGCUCAGGGCUCACCACCCUGAUUAUCCGUUCAAAUCUAUUCGAUUGGAUAAUGCUGGAGAAUUCACAUCUAAAACUUUUGAUGACUAUUGCAUGUCGGUUGGGGUUGAAGUUGAACAUCCUGUACCCCAUAUUCACACCCAGAACGGCCUGGCAGAGGCUUUCAUUAAGCGUUUACAAAUGAUUGCUCGAUCGUUGGUCAUACGUACCAAGCUCCCGAUCGCUGCUUGGGGCCAUGCAAUAUUGCACGCAGCAAAGUUGGUCCGCCUGAGGCCUGUUGCGACACAACCAUUUAGUGCCCUUCAGUUGGUCACCGGAUGCGAACCCGACAUAUCGCAUCUGCGCGUUUUUGGUUGUGCGGUCUAUGUGCCGAUCUCGCCGCCCUUACGUACAAAAAUGGGGCCUCAGCGAAGGAUGGGAAUCUAUGUCGGAUAUGAUUCUCCUUCGAUUAUUCGUUACUUAGAACCUUUGACAGGCGAUCUGUUUACCGCUCGUUUCACGGAUUGUCACUUCUAUGAGACAGUCUUCCCGUCGUUAGGGGGAGAUAAGAACGUCAACGUUCCUAAUGAACGACGUGAAUUAUCGUGGACGACUCCCACUUUGUCUCAUUUAGAUCCCCGCACCGCUCAGUCUGAAGCUGAAGUGCAGCGCAUAUUAGAUCUCCAGAGCAUAGCUCAGAGCAUGCCAGAUGUUUUCACCGAUCUAGCGCGCGUGACAAGAUCACAUAUUCCAGCUGCGAAUACGCCUGCAAAGAUGGAUGUACCAAAUGUACGACGGAUUACCCUCCUGGAAGCCCGGGACGCCAAUUCUGGUGAUCCACGUACAUUAGCGGCUAGCCAAUCAUCUGCCCCUACACAAAAGCGUGGCAGACCCUUUGGUUCAAAGGAUUCACACCCCCGGAAGAGGAAAACCACGGCACAAGGUCCUGAAGAGCCUACCGUGAAUCCGACUAUCGCUUACUCAUUUUACCCAACUCAUGAGGAAAUUCUAGAUUAUGGAAGCGUCCUUGAAGAGACGAAUCCUCCUCCCGAGAAUCGUGAGAUUUCGGUCUAUUAUGCUAGCUUAGAUGAUGUGUGGCGUAGAAAUGAGAUGAUUGUCGACGAUGCAUUAGCAUUUGCAGUAGCUACUGAGAUCAUGUUGAGCGAUGACAUUGAAUCGCGUUCCGUUGAUGAAUGUCGACGUAAAGUUGAUUGGUCAAACUGGAAACAAGCAAUCCAAGUCGAACUUGAUUCACUUGCGAAACGUAAGGUGUUUGGACCUGUAGUUCCUACUCCUCCAUAUGUGAAGCUCGUUGGCUACAAGUGGGUUUUCGUUCGGAAGCGUAAUGAGAAGAACGAAAUUGUGCGUUACAAAGCUCGUCUUGUAGCACAAGGUUUCUCACAACGCCCCGGGAUUGACUAUGACGAAACUUACUCACCCGUUAUGGAUGUGAUUACUUUUCGAUACCUUAUCAGUUUGGUAGUUUCCGAAAAACUGGAUAUGCAGCUGAUGGACGUAGUAACCGCGUAUCUCUAUGGGGAUCUUGAUACGGAAAUUUAUAUGAAAGUUCCCGAAGGACUUACAUUGACUGGUUCAAAUAUUUCCAAACCCCGGAACACGCUCUCAAUUCGGCUGAGGCAUUCACUAUACGGUUUGAAACAAUCCGAAAGAAUGUGGUAUAACCGUUUAAGUGAGUAUUUGACUAGUCAGGGAUAUGUGAAUAACGAACUAUGCCCUUGUGUGUUCAUUAAGAAGUCACAUUCCGGAUUUGCGAUUGUUGCAGUAUAUGUCGAUGACAUGAAUCUCAUCGGAACUCCUGAAGAGCUCGCGAGAACUGCUUCGCACCUGAAGUCGGAAUUUGAGAUGAAGGAUCUAGGUAAGACUCGAUACUGUCUCGGUCUCGAGAUAGAGCAUUGUUCGGAUGGAAUCCUAGUACAUCAAUCGAACUACACCCAGAAGGUGUUGCGCCGUUUUAAUGAGGAUAAAGCGAAGUCUUCGAGUACUCCUAUGGUCGUUCGUACGCUAGAUGCAAAGCGAGAUCCCUUCCGUCCGAAUGAGGAUGAUGAAGAGAUUUUGGAGCCUGAAGUUCCUUAUCUAAGUGCGAUAGGCGCUUUAUUGUACUUAGCUCAAUGCACUAGACCCGACAUCUCCUUCGCUGUUAAUCUUUUGGCAAGAUACAGCAAUGCACCAACACGCAAACAUUGGACUGGCGUGAAAGACAUCUUCCGUUACCUUAAGGGUACUACGGAUUUGGGCUUAUUCUAUCCCUACGAAUCCUCGAGUGAUGCCGCACCCUAUGCUCAUCGGGUUGAUUCUCGCCUUGUUGGUUAUGCCGACGCUGGAUACUUAUCUGAUUCGCACAAGGCGCGUUCUCAAACGGGUUAUGUCUUUACCGUUGGAGGCACCGCAAUAUCUUGGAGGUCAACUAAACAGACCUUAGUUGCCACUUCGUCUAACCAUGCUGAAAUUCUCGCCUUACAUGAAGCAACUCGGGAAUGCUUUUGGUUGAGAGCAGUAGUGGGCCAUAUUCGAAGCUCCUGUGAUCUUCAUCCCGCCGUUAAUGCCCCGACGACGAUUUUUUAAGACAACGCAGCUUGCAUCGAACAGCUCAAGAAGGGUUACAUCAAAGGAGACAACACCAAGCAUAUUGCGCUGAAGUUCUUCUUUACACAUCAACAACAAGAGCAUCAGAAGAUUGAAGUCACGCAAAUCCGAUCACAAGACAAUCUGGCCGACCUCUUCACCAAAUCACUACCGAAGGCGACGUUUCAGAAGCUUGUUCAUGGAAUUGGUAUGCGUAAACUUUCUGAGUUGUAACUUUGCUAUUUCUCUUUGGAAUUAUGUCAAACUCAGGGGGAGUAUCUUCUAGAUACUUGCUUGAUCUUAAUGUACUCUUUUUCCCUACGAUUAGGAGCAUUUUUCCCACUGGGUUUUUGCUACCUAACUAGGUUUUAACGAGGCACCCACCUUGGGCUGGUCAUAUCCCUGAUGACGUCCUGUAGACGUUUCUUUUGACUUUGCAUUUCUCACGCAUUUUUCCUUAGACUAUGGAUUUUGUCCCUACUUGAGUUUUUGCCAUAGCCUUAGGGUUUUUUAGUGAGACUUACUACUUAUGCAAGUUCCUACCUUAUUGAGAAUAAGCGUUGUUCCUUGGAAUCAGUGCCAACGAGUCGACUUCCUCAACUUCUGCAUGAUGUUGAAUCUACCUUGAGUAUUUACCCACUCAAGGGGGAGUGUUGUAAACAUUCCUAGUUUAAGUAUGAUUGUGUAAAUCCUAGAUAAGAUUUGAUUCUAGUUAUCCUUUCCUAUUACAACUUGUAUUACUUGGAGGAGAAGAAAUAUCUUCUCUCCCUUUACUACUAUAAAUAAAGGCACAAUGUAGGAGGGAUAACAACACACACACAUUCCCCUACAAUUCUACAAACACACAUCUCUCUCCUCUCUCUCUGCCGCCGGCCCUAGUCCCUCUGUCAGAUAAAAUAGAUCACAACAUUAAUUUGUUUUUCUUUUAUAAUUUUUUUAUUUAUAAUCUCUCAUACAUUCAAUCUCUCUCUCCUCUCCCUCAUUUUCUUUGCUGCUCAUCCCCCUCAUCUCAACUUCACCGGAUCUUCGGGUGUCAACUUAUCCAACCACACCUUCGAGGAUAGACAAAUUUGUUGAGGUAUAAAAUUAAAUAAAUAAAUAGUUUGUUUAUUGGGUUUUAAAUUAGGGUUUUGUUAUUGAAUUUGAUGAAUUUCUUUGUGUCGUGCGAAUAAGAUUGGUUGGCAUCUUAUUAAUUUAUUGGGUGUUAAUUUGGUGAAUUCCUUGCGGAUGAGAAUCAUCAUUCCUGUUAUCGGAUAAAUCAUCGGUCCUUUUAUCAUCCUAAGCAUUUCCGUCCAUUAAAUUAAUUAUGGGUUAUUUUUUAAGUUUAUUUUACUAUUUAAUCAUCGCAUUUGAUCUUGUGUAGGAUCUGAAAGGAGGAGAGGGAUAAUCGUUGGUGCAGUGGUGGUCGGUGUCGAGCAAGAGAAUAGGAAAGAGAUCCUUCCAGUUGUUUUAGGGACAAGAAUUGUCAUUUUGUAAAACUAAGGAGGGUGUUAUUGAAAUUUAAAAGUUUCAUUAACAUUGCACUGUAGCUUCGCAUGUUUUGAAAAAAAAAACUAUUUUUUCAAAGCUAUGACUUGUGGCUUCAGGAUGUUGGCUUUUUUUCACCUCGGCGGUGGAAAAAAGCUGAUUUUAGUGUGUUUACCAAACACUAAAAAAAACCCCAAUUUUUUCUCAUACCUGCUUUUUUUUUAUAAUUUCAGCCGUGCCAAAUUGGUACUUAAUCAGGUGUUACCACAAAGCAAAAAACCAUUGACAUUCUCAAACAUUUCUGUACAUUAGUAAAUAAACAAAUGAAUAGCACGACCCAGAAUAAGUGACCUCUCUCCCUCCCUCUCCAUGCUGCAGGCUACAAGGAUAUAACCUCUAUGCUCACACCAUAACUGAAUUAAGUACACUCAUCGUUAUCAGCUUUUUGUAGCAGUUCUCGCUGCUGUACCAAUUAUAUUCCACCCCCUCUCCCUUUCCCUGUGACUAAUAGGCUUCUGGCUUUCUUUAGUUCCGGCUCUUCUACCAUUUCCUAGCAACCCCCUGUGCGCCAUCCUCCCUCGGGUUCCAAUAGAGACUCUAACCUUCUCCAUCCCUACAUUCACGCCUUUUCUCAUAUGUGGCGGCAUUGGGGACUUUAUCUGGAUUUUCUUUUGGAGGCUUCUUCUCACUAUGCUGUUUAGCUUUUUGCCGCCAAUUCUGAUGACUUUAGGACUGCUACAAGGUGUCUGUUCCGGCAAGCAGUCAGUCUCAGGCACAUCUGGAUCAACUUUCUUAUCAGCAUGGCAUGCUAUGGGUGCCAAUGGUAAUGCAGGUGGCGGGGAUUGGACACGGAAUGGUACACUUGGGAGUGGAAUUAGGGAGUUGCGCCUUGGAGCUGCAGUUACUGGAAUCCGCUGAAAUGUUGGACAAAUGGAGGCUCUUCCGGUUUUCUUUGGAACAAGAAAUUGUUCAGCCAUUUCAGGGUUGUUUUCUUUCUCUGUAGCAUCAACAUGCUUGAUAAAACCAUCUGUUGUAUGAAAAAGGGGUGCUGUGGGUUUGUUGUUGGUCUUCUCCAUCAAUGGCUGCAGAGGGUUUACUUGAUCUUUUCCCAAUACACUGCCUGUUUCACUAAGGAUGUUGUGACUUGCUAAUGGUCGGCUAUCAAACGGUGACCUUGUGGGUGCAAUAGAUUGCUCAUCUUGUUGAUGUUUGAUUUGCUGAUGGUGCUGCUCGGCUAUCUUUGUGUCAACAUGCUGACGUGCCAGCUUUCUCUCGAUUAGAAGUUGUGCUUCCAAUUCUUUUACCUGAAAAAUGUACUACAUUAGUACCUGAAACUUACUUUAUGUAUAUAAACUGAAAAAAGGGACCAUUUGUAUACAAUACCUUGUCUUGCAGGUUUUUAUUCUUCAGGUCUCUUUCUUUUAUCUUCAAUUCUAAUCCAUGAACUGUUUCCUCCAUCUUCCUGAUCUGUACAUCUUUGCUCUUGACGUCUAGCUUUGUUUUCUCAAACUAGCAUACCAAAGAUCCGAGAUUGUUAGAAAUUUAAUAGAUGAAUUAUUCAAUCACAAUGGUGACAAAACGUCAAGGUUUUAAACAAAAUCUGGAAUCUGCAGUAACGUCAAGCACAGUGAAUUACCAUCUGUUUGUAUCUCAAAACUUCAGAAGUGUCCAGUUGCCUCUUUGCCGGACCCAACUCUAUCCCUCGCACUCUACUUGCAAAGUUCAGUGAGCAGAGUGUCUCACUCACAUCAUUUUCAUUAGGACUUAUCUGAACAAACAUGAGUGUCUUCGAGUCUCCUCCUGAAACAACGAAUGAUAUUCAUUAGUUUUACGUUUAAUUUAUCCAAGAAACCAGAGAAUAAAAAAAAUAUGAACUUGGAAUAUUAAACAACUCAGAAUAAGAAUUGUCGAUUCUUCUGUGAUCCAAAUGAAGUACCUAAAGAGUCUUGAAGCAAGUGGGUAAGCUUCGAGUUCCUGCACAGAAGACAUAAUUUAGUAAAAGAAAGUAAUAGCUGAAUGCAUAAUGUGGCAACUUGGCCAAUAUAAACAAAGAGCUAUUCAUUAACCUGAAAGGUAUGUGUGAGCUUUUAGUUGCAAGUGCAGAUAUGACAUCACCAAGGGAAGACAGAGAUCUAUUUAUGUUUUGAGUUUCCUUGAGUCGUUCUCCUUGCACUUCUGUCUUCGCUACACGCUCACUCCCUGCUAGAUCCACCAACCAGAGCUUACUUCUUGUGCAUUCCCCAUUCAACAAAUUCUCUCCCUUCACCAUUACACAGUGUAUGCUGCAUUUAGAGAGGACCACUCAAACAUUUAGCAAUCGAUCUUUGUUCCAGAGCCUAUUUGACACAAAUUAGAACUAACUGACUGUAACAAAGAUAUACAGACCAAUGUGACCGGCUACUAUGCUCAUUGGCAUUGGUUGAGCCAACAGCCCUUGCAUUACUGCCAGUUUGCAAAACUUCCCAGACUUCACUCAUGUUGUUUACAUGUGCCUCAACCAGACCUGGAACAUGAUGUAUCCCCUCACCGACUUGUCUUAUUUCUAGCCUACAAAAUUAUCGCAAUACUGUGAGAUGCUAUUAUCUUGAAAUGAUCCCAUAAUGUCCCAUCCUUUGCACUCGAAGACAUGGAACAUCAAGAGAACUGAACUGAAAGUAUCAACGGGUGUGAGGAGAAAUGAAUAUAAAAACUUGACAUGCAUAAUGAAUCAUCACAUUAGAAAAAAUGAAUCUUAAGAAGUGGAAAUAGAAAGAUUUCCCACUUUAAGAUGUAGAAAAUCAACCGCACGGUGAUAUUUUAAAUGCAAGCUAAAUGGGUGGAAUUUUAUGAAAAAAUAAAAGCAUGUCUAAUCAUGAUAAAUGACUUUCCUUCUACACACGAAUUUAGAAGAAACCACAUAUCAAGGAAUAUACAAUAGUCUAAGGAUCUUUCACCAGAUUAAAUUGGAAGGAUGAAAAAGAAGAACGAUGGGUAAGGAUCUUACCUUUUGGCAGCUGUUCCUGGCUGAUUCCCUGAAACUAGUAAAUCUCGUAUCUGCUCGUUGUAGACUUCUAAAACGCUAACUGAUACAUCAUAUCGAUGUAACUUUUUUCGCUCUCUAAUUAUACGAAACAAUUCCUGAAGAGUCCUAAAAUUGACUCCUCGAGCUUCUUCUGUCCCCUCCAUUGUAAAGGUUUUACCACUUCCGGUCUGCCCAUAUGCAAAUAUGCACACAUUGUACCCAUCUAAAACCGAUGUUGCAAAUGGAGCCGUGUCUUCAAAAACAUCAACUAAAUAGGACAAAGAAAAAAGGAAACAUUUUACUGUAUGGAGCUUUUGUACUUCUAUAGAUAUACCAAACAAAAAUCAUGUAUAUUAUUGUUUGUAUACCUUGUUCUGCUUGAGGACCAAAUACAGCAUCAAACUUGAAGGUCUUUCUGGUGACCCCAUUCGAUUUGACACUGAGCUCACCAUCUUUAGCAGAUUCAAAAUCAAUAGCCAUUGCAGCUCCUGCUGCAACUUCCUCAGUGUUUAGAGGCCUGCAACGGCAAAAGACCCGUAUGUUUCCUACAAGCGAGAAAAAUUAAUGUCAGAAAUCCCCUCUGUCUCAUACCCUUUUAGACCUCUUCAACUAAAAUAUAGCAAACUCCUAACCUUUCAACUCUAGCACCUUGUUGUAGAGUUCUUUCCGUUCUUUGGCCCCUUCAAUAAACUUAGUCUUCAGAUCAUUAUGCAAAUUGACUUGCUGAUUUACUAUUGCAAACGUAAAACAGUCAGAGUCAGAAAAAGCAAAACAAAUAUCAUAUCUUGAAAUUAAAAAAUGUCGUCACCUGGAACGCAUGGGCACGUCUAACUUACUAGUGGAAUGAAUGCUAGUCCUUAUUUCAUUCAUAUCUUCAAGGCACUUCUUAUAUGCCAACGCCUCCUCUGAUAGCUUGAUGUGGUCCAUUUUCAUGAUCUGUUGAGUCAAACUUUUUAAAUCACUGGAAUCAUAUCUAGUGUAGUCAAAAGGCAUCUUGUUUUUUAACAGCUUCGUACCUUCAGUUUUCUUGUCAAAUCUCUCAGUGAUGAAAACCAUCUGCUCUUCUCUUUCACUUGUCCCUCGAUGGCGAAAGCUGCAACGGGCAAGCAUCAAUGUACCAUGUUUGCAGAUGGUUCAAACGGUUAAGAGGCACAGAAUAAUAUUACCAUACCCAAAGAUCCAACAUGCAUAGACUUGCGCAUGAGUUCGUUUUGGAGUUCCUUUAAAGAAUUGCAGGCUUCUUGGCAUUCUUUACUCUUGGAAUAGUUUUGCUUUUUCAACUCCUCCAAUGCACUCCUCAUCUCUUGUAUUUCCUUUUUCUGUUUCUCAUAACAUAUUAGCAGCUUAUGAUAGUCUCCUUCUCCGUCGGUAUUACCUGUAUCCUGUAAUGAAAUGAUUUGCACAGAAGAUCUAAAUAUCCUAAUUUAUUUUGCUGCUAAACUACAUCGAAGGUGAGAGCGUUUAAGAAGCUUUACCUUUGGUGAUCCACAUUCUGCCAUUUGAGAAUCACUGCUCAGGAAAUCAUCAGUGCAGCCUCCGUUGUUGCUCAUAUCAGGAAGGGAAGCCUCCUCUAACUUGUCAUUUUGCGUCGGAGGCGGAAGAAGCUCGAAUGAAGCUUCAGGUGACAAAUCUUCCUUAAAAGUUUGGCACAAUGUGGUGGAGAACUUCACAGUUGGAGUCUUAUGGGUAUCUGUUACUUGAGACUCGUCGAUUCCAUUCUCAAAAGAGAGCUCAAUAGAAGAAUCCAUCUUCUGAUGGAACUUGCUUUCCAUGAGCUCAGGGGAAUCCUCAUAGCUGGUUUGGGGUAAAUCGGGUGACACAGCACAGAUCACCAAAUCAGGAGAAGUAAGCGAAAAACCCAUCAUCGAACGGCCUGGAACUAAAAGUAACAUAAAUCAAAUUCUAGAAAACCCUGAAGUCAAAUCCAAGAAUUCUGGCUAAAUUUACUGAUAGUAAAAAGGAAAGGCUACUCCAAUUUACCAUCAUUUGAAACUGGGUCCCUUGAAUUUGGCGUACUAACGACUUCUGAGCUUUCACAAUUUUCCCGAGAGCAAUCUACACGGACUGAAAUCAAGAAACCGAAAUCACUACACCUGACCGAUCCUACGUGCUAGUCGGGAUUCAUGCUCUUGACCGAAUUAGAGUUAAAAGCAGAUCCAAAUCCACAAAUCGACUCAUAAUUCAAUUCCCGCAAUUGGGAUUCAGAGAGAACACGAAAUCGAAUACUGAGAAACCAAAAAAGAAGUAGAAGUCUGGUUCUUUUCUCAUGAAAUUACCUUCAUUUGCAUCCGCAUCAUGAUAAACAGGAUCCACCAUUGUCAAGCGCUGCAACUGCGAGCAAAGCCAAGUGUCUGCCAAAGCACAAAAGAGGGGCAAUCGACAUUAAGUAAUUAUACAACCACCCAUGAAACUGAAAUCUCGGACUUACAGUCAGAGGGAGAGUUGUUGGUGGCGGCAGUGGAGCUGUUCCGAGGAGAGUCGCACUGGUCCUGCUCCUCCAUUAAUUGACAAAUGCCGAAUGUUCUGCUGCUGAAACCGCCGUCGUUUUGAAUUGAAUUAAUCAACGAUUAUGAUGAUGGCGAUGAUGAAUCUUUAUCGGCGAACCCCAAAAAGGUAAGUGGGAAAUUUGAAUCUGAACGAACACCGAAGGAAAGAAGAGAAAGGCGUUAAUCUCGUUGGUCCAUUCUCUCUGCGUUACGCUUUUUCGGAGGCAAAUGAGAGUCAAACGACCGUUGGCUUUUUUCGAAUUUUGAAAUGUCUUGGCCGGGGAACGAGCGUAGGUGAUCAUAGCUUUUCCGUACUGUAGCUUCUCCCACGUGGCACUUUAAUCUUUUGUCAAGUCCCUUUGUUUUUUCCUAAGUUGUUUUAGGAUCCUUUGAUUCUUUGUAUUUUUGGCUUGAUCUUUUUAUAAUGUAAGAAAUUAGAAUCAUAUCCAUAUAAACUAUUCAAAUUGCUCCCCAUCGAUUGUCAGAGAUAUUCAAACUCGAGUGCAAAAGAAUAGUACUUUGUCCUGAUUAACUGAUCUAACCCACAUUUCCAACAUCAUAUGUUACUCAUCAAAUAUAUAUUGACAUGGCGGAAGAAUUGUACAAGAUAUUCUUCAACUCUAGUCAUCUAUGUUGUUUGAAAUAGUAUUGUCAGCACUCCAAAAAUAUUACGGCGCAUUACAAUGGAAGUUUUGUAUAACGGAAGGGUGCAAGAUGACAUUUUCAAAGUGAGAUGAGAUGAUGCAUCAAGGCCAGAUCAUCAAAAAGAAUUUUGUAACUUUUUCUGGAACUUUAAUGUUAUGUGUUACAAGUGCCCUUCUUCCCCAAAUUGGAACUACAAGGAACUUGAUGAAUGUCCCUUUCCCUCUUUACAAAACAAGAUCAAGUCUACAUUGUAUGAAUUAUAUACAGUGUAAUACCAUACAACACAAGGGUACAUUCAUCUUUGCAUCAGAUCCUUUGCACCUCACACUCGAAAUUAAACACACGUGCGGGUAUUGACCGAUGCAAACCUGUCGAGGCGCUGAUCAUAGUGGCAUGCUGGACUGAGGGUGAUCGUAUUUUGCUUCCGUCAAAACAUGCGCAAAAGAGGGUUCUUCAAUUUUGCACCUUUCUUCCUGUUCCUUCCACUGCAGCUGCCAUUGAAGCGGAAGCCUCCUCAAGUGUCCGCUUCUUUUGAACUGUGUUGAAGAACUCAAGGCUAUCUCCCUCCUCCCAGUCGUCGUAGUCUUCCACCCCAAUUCCACACUCUAGUCCAGCAUUUACCUAGCCAAGAGGAGAAAAUAUAGCUCAUCACCAACAGACGACAUUAAAGCACGUGCCAAGUACCAAAAGAGUUCUGAACGCGGGAUCACCACAAAAACUGAGCCAAUUUAAAGAAACGCCAAAAACAAAAUGGUAAAAACAAGAAAGAACCUCUGUCAAAGCUAAAGAUUGACACCGACUAUGCACUUUGAUCAAAAUUAAUUAUUAGUUUUCGUGUAUUCACUAACUUGUACAAUAUAUAGUAUCAUGAACUAAACCUUUUAUGCCACAAUGGAAAUGCAGACACACACCUACGAAGAACGAACACAACUGAAGCUAUAGGUUCUAUCAUUCAGCUACUUGUGUACUUUGAAAUCCAGGCUGGCCGCAGAUCCAGAAGACAGGAAGUAUGCAACAUGCACUAGGUUGUGACUUUUAAGUAUAUCUAUUUUACAAUUCCCAUGCAGUAGGUUGCUCGCUCCCCUCUUUGCAAUUUUCUAUAAAUUUGACAAAAUGACCCAACAAUUAAAGUAAGCUAUAAAAAUUACCUCUUUCACAACUUCCUUGACCCGUUUCAAUGAAUCAACAAGACCAACAUGUACUACUUUUCCCCUUCGAAUGACCUCCACGCCACAGCCUUUAACAACUUUUCCCUCAUUUAUCAUGCAUCCAGCAACACGACCACUACCAGAGCUGAAUAUGGCCCGGACUUCUGCUGAUCCAAUUGUUACUCGUUCCUAUCGAUACACAAGUAAUAAUGUCAAAUGUAAAUCUCAGUCUGAAAUUUCCAACAACAUUAAUCCCCUAAAAUUCAGUGCUUUCAAUAAAAUUAAAACCAAAGAGAUAUGGUGCUUGAGUUUAUUGAUACCUCAACAGGCUCUAGGAGUCCUUCCAUUGCAUUUCUUACAUCAUCAAUGAGUUCAUAUAUAACUCUAUAUAGGCGAAUCUCAACCCCUUUAUUAUCUCCAUAGCUUUUUACAGAUCCUGGUACUUUGACAUUGAAUCCAAAAAUUAUUGCCUUGCUAGCAGCAGCAAGAUCAAUAUCGCUGGUGCUUACAUCGCCUGUUGUUUCCAAGAGAAAUUUCAAGGUGACAUUAUCUUGUGGAAGCACCUGCAGAGCUUGUCUGACGGCCUCGAUGGAUCCCUAAACAUGAUAGGGGAAUUUAUGGUAUAAUUACAGUAUAGUUUAAAUAAAUACUGAUUAUCAAAGGACCAGUUACCAGAUAAAUUUUUCAAUGUAGCGGGAACACAGCAUGCUACACCAAGUGUCAUGAUACAAAUGUUUGGAAAUUUAUUUUUCAAGUAUCCAACCAUUUGAAUUAUAACACUUGGUGUAACGGGCCGUGCUCCCAGUACACUGAAAAAUCUCUCCAGUUACCAAACGAAUUACUGACUCAUGACAAUUAGAUGAAUAUGCAUACCUGAAGAUCAACCUUCAGAAUAAUAUUUAGCUGGUGCAAGUCUAUUCCAGACAGCUUUCCUGCUGAGACUGCAGAAGCUAAGGAAGAAAGAGUAACCCUGCCAUCGCCAGCCUUAGCUGAUAUACGUUCAUUUCGCAAUGACUCAGCACGCAACUCUGCCCUUUCACGUGCAAUAUCAAGGGAGCUGACAACUUCAAAUUCAUCACCAGCAAUAGGAACAUUAUUUAAUCCAAGAACCUACAAGAAGACAAAGUGAUUGUCAUUCAGGGCAGUGAAACAAGUAUCAUGCAACAA
rnacentral:lncRNA from 1 species